rnacentral:lncRNA from 1 species
UUUGUUUCUUUGAAAACGCUCGUGGUGUGAUGAGGGCUGACUCUUGUGGAUGCUGUUCUUACUCCUCCCGCCGUCUGAGUCCCAGAGUGCGGCCCUGCCCUCCUCACUCCCAGUAGUCCUGGGUGAGUACAGAUCCGAAGGAUGGUGGGGGUCCUCGGUAGUGUGACAAAGGAGUGACCCACUUCCUCACAAUCAGAGACGCAGGGCACGCAGCUGCUACCUGCACGCAGGGCUUUGUACCGGGCCGCCUUUGUCUGGUUUUCCUCUCCGAGCCGCAGACCCCAUCAGAGCCGCGCCUGCCAGUUCCUGCGUCCCAGGGGCAGGCUGUCCUGGGGCUCUUGCCCCAGUUUUGCACUUUGGGCCUGGGCGGUGAGUGGGUAGCCACUUAUCUAGGAUCACAGCUUGUGUCAACAGAGCGACCGGGAAGUGAGCUCGGGGUCCGGCCUCACAUGGACAGUUGGGGAUGUUUACUUUUCUCUUUGAGCAAACUUUGAUUUACUCUUUAAUAAGUUACCACUGAGGAUGUGGCUCUGGAGAGGUUUGACUUGGCAUUCAGCCCAAGUCACAUAUUGAUAAAGGAGGAGAGGGGAUGCAAGUCUUUACGUUGUUCCAGCUUUAUCAUUAACUCCAGGUUUGGAAGGGGACUUACCUCCAGAGGCCAGGGUUCCCUGUGUGCCAGGGGGACGCCCCUCAGUCCAUGGGGUAUUGGGCCUCCUUAGUGGAAAGGCGGUGAGGCUCAGGCCACAGCACUGUUGAACCCCCUGGAGGGCCUGAGAGAUGAAAUAAAGGUGAUCUUGAGUUCAGACAGGCCUGACUGGGUCCCAACUCCGUCCCUUACAGUGCCACCUGGGGAAUCCCCCACUUUUUUUUGGCCUCAGUUCCCUCAUCCAUGAGGUGAGGGGACAUUCAACAAGAGCAAGAAGCUUACAGGAUCAGUGAGGAGACGGCAAGGGUCAGACGGGAUCAUGGGAUGUGGAGAGACUAGGCAUAGCAGCUCUCAGGGUUAUUUCUUAGGUCAUUUUUAUUGUGUGGAAGAGUCCCCAGGAUGUCACCUGCAUGGGGUGGGUGAGUGCUCCAUUCCUCUCCACUUUUCCUAUUUGGGUCCAUGUGGGUGGAUGGAGCUGCCCUUCAAGGGUCAGAGCGAAGGAAUGCUCUUGCCUCACGCCCGGAGGACAUAGGUCCUUGGGGGUCAGGGCGAAGCUUCCUUCCCUUCUGCUGACAGCAUUUCCUCAUUACAUGCAGCCGUCUGCAAACAAGGAAAAUGUGAGAAGAAAGAGGAGGCACUUUGGGCCCUUGUCAUAAGCCCCGUGACCCUUGGGUCCCUGCUUUUUCUUUGCUGGUCUGCAGGGGCCCAGGGCUUGCAUGGGGAGGGAGAGUCCCCUGUUCAGGGAUUCCAGUGGCCUCGCUCCCGAGUGCUGCGGUGGUGAGCCACCGAGUAAACCGCGCUCUUUGGCGGGGGCGUUGGGGUAAGGAGAGGGUCCCCAGGAGGGUCACUGUGGGUACGCAGUGCCAUAGAUGUUCAGGGUAGGUCUGCUGCUGGUGAGAGGUGCCUUAUCUCCAGAGCGUCUCAAGACCAAGACCAUCGACUCUAGGUUCACAGGCUCAAAGCCAGGCCACUUUUUACAGUUUUAAUUGCCAUGCACCAGUGAAUCCAAAUAGUAUCAGUGAUGCCAUCUCCUUUCACUGGACAACCAGUGCUUCUGCCCACUCCUGGUGCACCCUGGCUGAGUGGGGUAGAAGGAGAUCAUGUGGCCCAAAGACAAAGGAAACUGGGAUCCCCCCCCCCCCACCUCUUUCUAAAAAGCAAGCCUGGAGAAGACAGGUACUCAGGGUUUCCCAGGCAUCAAAAUUGUUCCUAAGAGAGGAAGAGAGGGGCACGGUGUGAAGGGAGCCCAUGCUGAGGCUGGCUGGCCACACUCCUUUUGGGGGGUCUGGGAAGCAGACCUGCAGCCAGGCAGACAGCAUGGAGGUGAGGCGAGGGAACUGUAGCAUUGCCACGGACCAUGCCUCUGCCUCCGACCUGAGUGCUCAUGGGUUCUCCUGCCCUGCUGCUUCUGCCACUCUGGUGACAAGUGCUCUAAAAGCUCUCCUACCAACAUCGCACCCUCAGAACCACCUAGUGAGGUGGACAGAGUCAUGCCCAAAUUUAACAGGUGAGGAAGUCAGGGCCCAGAGAGGAGCAUGGAGCUUCUCUGUCAGGAAGUGGUGGGUCUGGGACUCAAUGGCUCCAGUCUUCUGCUCCCAUACCUCACUGUGCUCGAGGGCCUCAGAGGCCUUGGGUAUGGCCUACUGACCAUUUUAGGGGAGGCACAAGCCCCAAGCAUGAUAAGGCCAGCUUAUCAGACGGGCAGAGAGUCUCAACAGACAGACAGACAGUGUCCAGAAGGGCUGUUUUUUGCUGUGUGCUUUGGGGAGAGGCAGCACUUAUUUUCACAGAAGUUUGUGUGUACAGGGGCUCUUGAGGCACCUCCUUAUUGAUUGCUGCAGUCCCACCUGAGGCAGGCCUAUGGACCAAGUGCCUCCUUGUUUCUGGGUGUUUUGGUCAGAAGCACAGGAGCAAAACCUGCCAUCAUCUCUGUGGGGAUUGGCUCAUCUCUACCUGCACGCUGCUCAGGGCUCAACCCUGGAGGAAGUUUCAGGAAAUGGGGGAAAUGUCCUCUGUGGAGUCUGCCUGCUGAGGUGGGAGCUGGUCCCAUGGAAGAGCCUUGUUCCAGCUCCUCAUGGCCUGAUCACUGGGUCCCUGGGACAGGACCCCAAGCUGAAGGGCCAUCCUGAAGAAAGGGCAAGCACAGAGCUUCAGGCUGGCUCAGGCUAGCCCAGGGGUUGGGUGCCCAGGGAGCGAGGGGCCAGAGCUCGAGGUCUGUGUUCAGCCCUGCCCUGCUUGCAGUGCGGACUCUAGGUUCACAGGCCGCUAGCUUGGAGAAAGAAGCCACGCCCACGCCCACCUUGUUCCGCGUGGUGGUGGCAUGAAAGGCUGUUGGGAAGGGGCGAGGUGCCGCUCGGCCACUUGCUCUGGAAAUUGGAUACUGGAAACCCAGGGUCUCCCAGCCCCCUCACAGUUUAAACAGACCCAUAUGUGCCUGAUCUCUGCUCCUGCCAGCAGCCUGCUCUUCUUCCUCGCCCAGGUUUCCCAAGUUCCAGCAUUUGGCCAGCUUCCUGGGGACAGAAUCUUUCAGGUCUAAACAAAUGCUAUGUAUGCAGCCCAUGAUUCUUUUUUUUUUUUUUUAAUCUUGGACAAAGUUGAUUCUUUAUUUUUCUCUAGAAAAUUUUCCUCCAUUAUGUUCAUCAACGCAGAGAGGCAGAGCAUUUUGUGGAAUUAUUUUAAGUACAACCUGUGAUCAUAAUUUCACAUCAGAGACUUUGCUGAGCAGCUGUGGGGAGGAACAAAGGGCCUAGGGAUGGUUUAGGGCCUGGGGGAGGGGAGGACUCAAGGUUAAGGCCAGGAGCAGGGGCAGCUAGGAGGUGGCCGUACGCCCCAGGGGGAGUAGGCCUCCUCCUGGCCUUCUGUCCACACACACCUCAUUGGCGAUUUUGUCUGCCGAGAACACUGCACACAGUUUGUAAGAACACAUAGACUGGGCUGAGGACUAAGAUUCAAUUUAACAGUCCACCUGAGAGCUUCGGCCAGGGAUUGGGCGGGCCUGGCUUGAACCUGGGUCCUGCCUGUUGCUGGCCUCAGCCAAGUCAUCUGGGAGAUGGGGAUAACCAGUGUGGCAGUCAGUGUUCUGUUUCUAUAUCACACACCCAGCUCAAAGACAUAAGGAGAGAGAAGGUGGUUGAUUUUGACUUACAGUUUUGGAGGUCUGAGACCAUGAUUGAUUGGUCCCACUGUUUGGGGCCUGUGGUGAGGCAGCACGUCAUGGUGGUGGCAUGGGGUGGAGAGAAUCCAGUCAUAUCAUGGCCCAAGGGUGAAAGAGAAAAAGACAAAGGGGCUGGGGUCCUCCCACCUCUUCAAAGGCAAGUCCCUAAGACCUCCCUCCAGACCCCACCUUUUACAGGCUCCACAAGCUCCUCGGCACGGUGAUGCCAGGGACCAAGCCUUCCACACACGGUCUCGGGGGGCCACCCUGAUCCUAACCAUUGCACACACCAACCCCAUCCUGGGGCGGCUGUGAGGAGGAGCUAGGAAAAUGGGGAGGGGUUGGUAUGGUUCAAGAGCUCAUGAGUGUUCAGGAUGCUCUCUCAUCCCCCAAAUGCAGGAGGGUCCAAUUUGCAGGCUUGGUUUUUGCAACUGAUUAAUUCAUUCAUUCAUCGACUGAGCACCUGGAACUCCUAGGUGUUGGGUUGGGAGUGGUCGGGCUACAAACACGUCAAUAUGGGGAUUAAUAUGCUAUUAGAUAAGCAAAAAAAAAAAAAAAAAAAAAACCCAAACGUCUAUUGAGUUAAAAGUAAUAAUGACUUCCAAGGAUAUUUAGGUAGUUUACAGAAGAGUCUUAACAGAUGGUCUGUUAGGAACAACGUGAAAAAAAUGUAUGGCAUUAGGAAAAAUGGGAAGCUGUCUUAUUUCUAACCAUUUGAGAAACUUGUUGCUUUUCAAUACAACUGCUAUCUAAAUUAAUUUCUUAAAAUAAACCCUGCUUUGUACCCGGAAGCCUUCAGUUGGCUAAUCUGCCCAUAAUGUGCAUGUAAGCAGUCUGGUUUGUCCCAGUGUCUCCAUGACCUAUGUCCUCCGAAGGGCAGGAUUUGCCAGGGACUGUCCAGUUCUAAAAUAUGAUGGCCUUAGGAACCAGAAGGCAGCCAGCCAGGUCUCUUGAUGGCACUUCUGGUGUGUGUGUGGGGGGUAAUGGGUUUCUGCUCCAUUCUGCUAGAAAUGUGGGACUCUCCACCUCCAAAGGUUCAUGCUGGCCCAGGUGGGCAGCUCAUGUUUUCCAUGGAGCCAUUAAUGGGACAUUGAUUUGUGUUAAUUUGCAUAGCUCGUCCAAAGGCUAGAACUUUUUUUGUUCCUUCCUUUCAUCUUGGUCUCCCUGGCGGUGUUUUGGUCUUGUUGUGACUGCCUGUCUGUCUUCUUUGGCCCUGAGCUGCUGCUGGCCCUCUGUCCCGAGGGGAACAAUAGCCCUGGUCACUGUUGGGUGGCCAACCGUACCAGGCCCAGGGUGUGGAGCAACUUUCAGUCCCGCUGCUCCUCUCCGUGUCUCCGGGGUGGCUCACCCGGGCUCUGCUUUCUUGGAAAACAACAGUGAACUUUGUUCGACCAAAGCCCUAUUUCCCAAACUCUGGUAUUUGUUCUCUGGCCCUCCUCCCUGCAGCUGCUCCCAACUGCUGACCACUUCCUGUGCACACUGAGCCGCUUUCGCUGUUCCAGCACUUCUUGGAAGACAGCCACAGGGGCCCGAGGUAGAUGGAGCACAAGCCCUACCACGGGUGGCCUUGGCCUGUGGACCUGACUGCGCCACCAGGGUGCAGGGACAGAGGUGGUGCGGGGACAGAGAUGUGUGCUGCCUGACUCAGGGUGGGCAUUGUGGCUCCAAAGUCCCAUUGCUUUGCCAGCCUCACACCUCUGGGUGCCUGCAGAAUGUUAGAAUCAGGAGGAAGCAAAAAAAGAAAAAAAAAAAGCACAUUGACACAACUAACGUCAAAAGAGACAAGUGAUAAAAGGGAAAGGCUUAUUUUUGGAGCCCUUGGUUUCUGAAACUCCUUCCGACUUCGCACCCUCUCGUCCCUCCCACUUCUGUGCUCUUUGUCUCUGUGGGGACCUUGCAUAUCUGACCCUUCCCUGGGCCUGGGCCCUUAGGCCUUUCUGGGUUCCUGGAUCUUGGUGUGAGCCCUUCCUUGGCUUCUUGUCUCUCUUUUGCUUCUGUCACUCAGCCUGUCACACCCCAAAUCUGACUGAUGGGGUGGCUGACUGAGAGUGGCUGUGGCUGCUGGAUCUACAGCAGCCCCACUUGCACACCCGGGCUUCUCGACCCCACCGACUUCAUCUGGGACACAGAGUGGGUCUUGAUUGGCUGGAAGAAUAUUUGAAAUAAUUUGACUUAGUUAUUGACAUUUAAGAAUAGGAGAUCACAAGACAAAUUUAGAUUUUUUGAGCUCAACUUGCAAAGCUGGAGAGCCAGCAGGAUGGGGUCUUGGCUUAUUCUUGAACAACCACUAGUGGGAGCCAAGAGGCUGCCCCCGCCCCUGGGGCACACUUUGUCCACUACGCCACAUGGCCGCGAUGACAGGACGAGUCUGCCUGGACUCAGAGCCUGAGAAUCAGCUGCCACUGACCAACUGGCUUGUCUCUCCCCCGAUUCCUAAGCACCUCGUUCAGGAAGUGAUUGCCGGACUCUACUGGGCAUCUCAGUUGGCCACUCCUGCUCAGUGGCAUUUUCUCAGCAAUCAUUUCCUGGCCUCUAGUGGACUCCAACCUAUGUGUUGCUCACCGGGUCAUUGCAAAUCUUGUCGAGGCCGCUCAAGCCCUUGGUGUCUCCAGGAGGUCUGGCCUCUUCCAUUGUUGAGAAGGCUGAGGCCACAUAAGGUGCGUCCCCACGCCUCAACAUCCUUCCUUUCCUCCUCUAGCUCUCUGCUUUUCUCCCUCAGUCCCUGCCUCCUUCCCUCUUUCUGAAUCUUUCUGUCAUCACUUUUUUAAAAAUGUAAAAUUAAAUGCACUAUGGAAAGUGUUGAAGACAGGCUGUUCAGCUCAGUGAUUUAUCAGGAAGUCAGUGCUGUGGGGUGCUUACCAGCCAGGUGAAGAAAUACAGCUGCCCUUGGUGCAUGCACUCUGGGUUCCCCUGCCUGCCCGUCCUCCAGAGGAGGGCACUACCCUGGUCUCAUGGUAAAAAUGUCCUAAAUUUUCUUUAUCCUUUUAUCGUGAAAAUGUGUAUAUUAAUGUUUAUUGCAGUUUUCUUCACAAUUGCUAAAACUUGGAGGCACUGAGAGUCCCAUCAAUAGAUGAAUGAGUAAGAUGGAGGUCCAUCCAGAAAACAAAUGUCACACAGCCACAAAAAUACAUGGAGGGCUGGGAUCAUGCCUGUGAUCCCAGCUACUCGGGAGGCUGGAGGCAGGAGGACUACAAGUUCAAAGCCAGCCUGGGCAACUUAGAGACACCCUGACUCAAAAUAAAAUUAAAAAGUGCCAGGGAUGUAGAAUGCUUGGCUAGCAUGCAAGGGGCCCUGGGUUCAACCCCCAGUACCAUCACCACCACAAUAGCAAAAAGUCACGGAGGACCUUCAGAUGAAUAUUGCUAAGCGACAGAAGCCAAUCUGAAAAGGUUCAGACUCUGUGACUCAAAUUAUAUGACACUUUGAAAAAGACAAAACUCUGGAGACAGUGAAAGGAUUGGUGGUUGCCAGGUUCACUGGAAGGGGGUAUGAAUGGGGGGAGCAUGGAGGGUUCUUAGGGCAGUGAAGCUUUUCCUAGGAUGCUACGAGGGCAAGUCCACCAAAGUUUACAUUUGUCAAAACAGAACGGGGGACACUAGGAGGGAACCUAAGGUAAGCUAUGGGCUCUGAGAUGGUGUGUCAGUACAGAUCACCAGCACAGCAAAUGCAGCACUCUGUGGGAGGGGAGGGCAAGAGGGAGGGUGUGCAUGGCCGGGUGGGAGCUAGAUGGGCAUGUUUGUCUCCACCUUGCUGCAAACCUAAACCUGCUUCACCCAACAGAGCUUUGUCAGAAGGAAAAAAUGCAUAUCCUUAUACUCUAAAGUUUAGCUCUGCCAUUUUGACAACUUUUUAUAAAUGCAACUGUACUACUAUAUAUUCUUUCACUUGUGAAAUCCACCCACUUGGCUGUGUAGAUUAAUGUCGAGCGAUAAUCCCUGAAUAGUACUGCAUUUUCAAAUGUGGCACAACUUGCUCUUCUGCUUGUGAUGGACAUCUGGGCUGUGUCCAGGCCAGGCUAUUGGGAGUGAUGCUGCUACGGUCAUUCUUGUGCUGUAUAUUGGUGCAUGCUUGUGAGCAUUUCCAGGGUGGUACUUUCAAGUCUGGAGUUUUCUUUGUGGAAAAGUUUUGAAAUUAUCAGUUCAACUUACUUAAUAGUUACUGAGUUAUAUUUUCCUUGUGUCAAUUUUUUUUUGUAAAUUUUAUUUUUUAAGGAUUUAGAAUUUAUCUAAGUUUUCAAAUAUAUUGGCAUGAAAUUGUUCCUAGUAUCUUCCUGUGAUCUUUAAUAAAGCUGGGUUCUGUUGUAAUGUCUCUUUAUAUGUCUGACACUGGCGAUUUUAAUCUCUUUUUCCCCCUCAAUAAAUGUUGCUAGGAUUUUUAAAAAAAAUCAAUUUUAUCACUCUUUCCAAAGAAUCCAACCUUUGAGUUUUGCUCACAUUUCCUUUUUGUUGUUGUUGUUCUCUAGUUCAUUAAAUCCUGGAUUUAUCUUUCUUCUUUUUCUUUGGGUUCAAUUUUCUGCACUUUCUCUAACUUCUUGACAUCUGCUUAAUUCAUUGAUUUUAAACUUUUCUUAUAAUCUAGUAUAUGCAAUUAAAAUGAUAAAUAUUCAUCUCAGCUGUAGACUUAUUCCACAACUUUUGAAAUAUAAUAUUUUCACUAUCAUUCCAUUAAAAAUUUUACAUGUUCAUUUUGAUUUUUCAUGGGUUACUUAACAGUAUUUUUGAAUUUUCAAAUGCAUGGAAGUUUCCUCAUCAUUUUGGUCAUCAAGUUAUAGCUUACUUGAAAUUAUUUAGAAUAUAUUUUGUAUCAUUUCAGUUAUUUGAUAUUCACUAAGACAGGCUUUGUGACUCAAUAGAUGGAUGAUUUUUGAAACUGUUCUCUGUGUGCUUAAAUGGAAUAUGAUUAGUAAGUAGUUCUGAGCUCAGAGUUCUGUAUGUCCAUGAGGUUAUGGUUGCUGGCUGAGUUGUAUGAGUCUUCUAUGUUUUUACUCAUUUGUCUGCCUGUUAGGUCAGGCAAUUGAAAGUGGUGAGUUAAUUCUCUUAUUGUCAUCAUGAAUUUAUCAAUAUGUAGAUGUGCUGCUUAUUGCUUUAUGUAUUUUGAAGCAUAUACAAUUUUAUAAUGUCAUAGCUUUGUGGGAAAUUGGAACUUUUAUUACUAAGAAAUGCCCUUCUUUAUAUUCAGUAAUGUGUUUUUUGCUUUAAAUUCCAUUUUGAUUGAUAAUUUUUAUAGGUAAUUCAAUUUUCUUUGGAUUAGCAUAAUAUAUAUUUUCCUCUACCUUUUCUCUUAACCAUUUUGUAUUCUUAAGUGUUAUAUGCUUAUCUUGUGAACACUAAAUAAUUAAAAAACCCAUUCAGUCUGGCAAUCUUUGUUUUUUAUUUGGAGUGUUUAGUCCAUUCAUAUUUAGUAUAACUCCUGUUAUAUCUGUAUUUAAAUACCCUAUGCAAUUGAGUGCUUUUCUUUUAAAUCUUGGGUUUUAUUUUUAUAGUUCUGGGGAUUGAACCCAGGACCUUGUGCAUGUUAGGUAGGUGCUGUAUCACUGUAUUACAAACCUAGUCCCUUAGUUAGUGUUUUCUAUUUGUCCCAUCUAAAUUUUAUGAUCAUGUUUCUCUAACUUUAUUGCUUAUUUUUAAAUUUUUAAUGUAUUUUUCUAGUUGUAGGUGGACACAAUACCUUUAUUUUAUUUUUAUGUGGUGCUGAGGACCGAACCCAGUGCCUCACGUGUGCUAGGUGAGCACUCUACCACUGAGCCCCAGCCCCAGCCCCCUUAAUUGCUUAUUUUAGAUUGAUUUUUAAAGCAUCACACUUACUUUAUUUCUUUGGAAAUUGCAUAUUCUUUUUACUACUCUUUUGGUUAUGAGCCUAAGAUUACAGUAUGUAUUCUUAUAUCAAUGGGUACUUUUUACUCUUCAGGCAUUUGAAGAAUCUGGACCACUCUUCAUUUACUUUCCUCAAAUUUUAUAUUAUCAUCAUGCAUUUUAAACAAUAUAUGUUUUUUGAAUAUAUUUUUUAGUUAUACAUGGACACAACAUCUUUUAUUUCAUUUUUAUGCAGUGCUGAGGAUUGAACCCAGUGCCUGAUGCAUGCCAAGCAAGCCACUCUACCACUGAGCCAAAAACCCAGCCCUAAGCAAUGUAUGUUUUUAACAUGACAAAAUUAAAAAAAAAAAUUUGGUCACUGUCCAUUUAUAUUUACCUAAAUACUUUCUCCUCCUCCUCUUCCUUCUCCUUCUUUUGAGGCAGGAUCUUGCAGUGAUGCCCAGGUUGACCUCAAAUUCCCAGGCUCAUGGGAUCCUCCUGCCUCAGCCUCCUGAGUAGCUGGGAUUACAGGUGUGUGCCACAACACCCAGCUCUAUACUUGCUUUUAAAAAAAAUAUUUAUUUCCUUCUGUGUCUUUUGCUUUCCAACUGCAGCUAUUUUCCUUGGUCUUGAAAAACAGUCUUCCCUUUAAUGUGAGUGAUAAAUAUGCUGAUUUGGGUUUUGUAAAUUUCUUUAAUUCAUCUUCAUUCUUGAAGAAUUGGCGGGGAGCAUAAAAUUUUAGGUUGACAGUCAUUCAUUUUCAGCAUGUUAAGACUUUUCUGUUAUCUUUUAUAUUUAACUGUUUGAGACAUCAGCUGUCUAACUGUGGUUCCUGUGACCACAAUCUGCCUCUUCUCCUCUCACUUAAGAUGUUUCCCUUUGCUCUCAUUUUCAGCAAUUUUACUAUGAUGUGCACACUGCUUUAAAGGUCACCAAAAACACCCCAGUUGCCCCUCCGGUGGGAUUUUUCUCAGUCCCCACUCUCUUUGGUCUUGGUGCAGAGCUCAUCAUGGCUGUGCUGUGUGCCCCUUUCUCUGGAAUUCUCUCCUCACUUGGCUUCAAGGAUGCUCGGCUUUCGGAGCCGCCUGCCCACUCAUUCUUUCCCACCUUCUGCUCCUCUCUUCCACGUCCUAAGGUAGGGUGUCCUGCUCCUGGUUCUCUUCUUUCCUCCUCUCACUGCUCCUCUGACGAGACCCCCCUGCUUUGGUAAAUUGGUGGCUCCCACAGCUCCGUUUGUGUGUGGAUACUCAGAUCUAAAUAUCUGGCUCAGGCCUCUUGCCAGGGUCUCAAUUUUGCAUUUCUGAAUGACGGCUGGUUUUUCUGUCUGCAUGACCUACGAGUCCUUCAAAAAACAUUUUAAAAGGUUGAGCUCACACUUUCCAUCCACAGACUUCCUCUUUCUUCUCAUUGCCCAUGACUGCUAAUAUCACGACUGCCUCCCACUCUCAUUUCUUCCCUCCACACCACGCUCUUUCCUUUCAUCUCCUCUCGUUCAAAUCCCAUAGGCUUUAAAGGGCCAGUUCAAGGCGUCCUCUUUAAGAAAAGCUUUGAGUCCUGUUUAAAAAAAACAAAACAAAACUGUGAAUUUCAGCAGUGAGAGACGUUGUUCAAAUUGAGGCUCUGUCACUGUGCCUCUAGAAGGUGUUCAAACACUGUGAACCUGGGAUUUAUCGUCCAUAAAAUGGAAGCCUGAGUGGCUGACUCAUGGGUGCAUUGGUAAGGUCGAAUGAGUUAUUUAUGAAUAUGUUCUACUCCUUUUACCAGACUGUACACUCCUCGGAGUGAGGGUCUUUUUUUUUUUUUUUUUUUUUGAUUAAUCUACAUGUCCCAGGUGCUUCUUUAGCGGUGAUCAAAUGAAUGAAUGAAUGAAUGCUGCACAACUUGCCAGACAGCCUGGUGCUGAUGUCAGCAUUUAAUUCACCAGUUAGAAAGAGCAAGUCUGCUUAAUGCCCUUUAGUUCCCCGAUGCACACAGCCACCACUUGAACACUCUUAUUUUGUUCCCACCAGCUUGGCUUAAUAUCAGAUGGCUGAUGAGAUGGGAAGUGAUGCAGGCUCUUUAGACCCACUCACCCUCUGUUUGCCCUUGCUUUCCCAUGCACCAGAAGGCUUGAGUGAUUGUCCAGGGGGGUUAAUGGUGUAGACAACUGCCCUUGGCUAGAAGGUUCUUAAGUCCUAUCACCUCUUUUGGAUUUUGUUUAAUUUAUCCAGAAAAUUGCUGCAUCUCUUUACUUCUUUCCUCUCUCUCUCUCUCUCUCUCUCUCUCUUUGUACUGGAGAUUGAACCCAGGGACACUUAACUUCUGAGCCACAUCCCCAGCUCUUUUAAUUUAUUAUUAUUAUUUUGAGUCAGGGUCCUGCAAGUUGCUCAUGGCCUUGCUGAGUUUCUGAGGCUGGCUUUGGACUUGCAGGCCUCCUGCCUCAGUCUUCUGAGUUGCUGGGAUUGCAGGUGUGCGCAUCAGGCCCGGCCUCUUGAUCUUGGUUGAAACCUGUGGGGUCCAGGCAGCCCUCUGUUCCUGCAACCACAGCUCUCAUUUUAGCUCACAACUUCUUUCCCCCUUGUUGGUCUUAAAAGUGGGUGAGGCUGGCUGUAGUUGUCCUGAGACACUAGCCCUCAACUGAGAGGUGGCCCUUUCCUAAGAGCACAUCAGGCCCAACACACCCGCCCACUGGGGUGGGCAAGCCAAGCACUCGUCUCCCUCUUGGCCUAUCAGAAACAUUGGAGGACAUUCUGUCUGUUCCAGCAAUUUGGUUAUUCAUUUUCUACUCUCAGCUGUGUAUAGACCACCUGGCCAUAGCUUGGUUCACCCACUUUUAGUGCUCCUGACAGAUGGCAUCUGGAAGCCACAGUAUGAGCUCUUUUCCUCCUCCCUACUCUCCUCCCUGGGGUCAGAUCUCCUCAGAGGAAUAAAUGGAGGUAAGGUUAGGUGUGGGCAUUCUCAGUGGCCAGUGGUGCAGAAAGCUAGGAAGGGUCUCAGAACAAAGCAAGGCUUUUGUAGCAGGCUGGACAAUUGCCCCCAAGUCCCUGAAACCUAUAGAUAUUACUGACAAAAUCCCCUACCCCAGUUUAUACUUUGAAAUUCUAAGUCUCCAAGGUGACAAUCUUAGGAGAAGGGAGAUGAGGCAGAGUUCUCCUGGUGGGGUUACUGUCCUCCUAAAAGACACGUGGAGAGCUGUCCUUCCUACCAGGGGAGGGCAGAGGAAGGGAGCAGCAUCUAGAACCAGGAAGCAGGCCUUCAGCAGAACCAAAUCUCCUGCACCUUGAUCUUGAACUUCUAGCCUGUGAGAAAUGAAUUUCUGUUGCUUAUAAGCCACCCAGUUUAUGAAUUUGUUAUAGUAUCUGAAAGGAUAAAGCCCUUUAGCUUAUUUGGAUAAAAAGGACUUUGCAGAUAUGAUUAAGUUAAUAAUCUUCAGAUGGGAGAUGAUUCUGGAUUUUCUGGGCUCAUAAAUUCCAUCAUAGAUACACUCAUAAAAGAAAAUGAAGGGGAGACAUCACAUAGCUAGUAAAACUGUUGUAAGGACAGGUUCUAGUUGAGCUUCCAGGGACGAGGCCACCAAGAGCUGAUGCUCCUGCCACCACCAGGGAGCUGGCCACUCACCUAAAGCUGCCUGACACCUGCUCUCGUCUGCACCCCCAAAGUGGAUGCCUCAUGCCCUCCCUCUCUCCCCACUGAGCCAGGUCUAAAUUCAGAUCUUGCGCGACUGCCUAUUGCUAGAGGAAUUUAAAUUGCACCUGGGACUUUGGCUGCAGGGGAGUCUGGGAAGUGUGGUUUUUAGUGUUCCGGCUUCUGCAUCACAGAAGGGUAGCUUCCCCUUGCAAUGAAUGUCACUGUGCCAAUGGCACGAAUGUCGAGUGCGCCAACCACUUGUCUUAACGUGCGCGCUUACUAAGGGCAAAGCACUGCUCCAAGCAAAAAGGACAGGGCCCUGCGAGGGGCUGAGCUUCUCCUGAGAGUCACAGCAAGUUCACAACAAGUGAGGUCAUUUCAGACAGUAAGUGUCACAGACAAAGUUGUGCAAUGAGGUAAUGGUGGGGUGGUGGUUGCUUUAUCCAGAACGGUCAGGAAGCGUCUGUUGCUGAGCCAUUUCUUGCAGCCAUCUGCAUGGUGAAGUGGUAGCCAUGAGAAUGGCUGGAAAGUGGGUGCUUCAAGGGCCAGGAACGGAAGGCCAAGGCCCAGCCAGGAACACCUGGGCCUGCUCCAGGGAAGGAAGGGAGCCUGAGCAGCUGGACUGUGGUCAGGGAGGCAGGGAGAGGGAGAUGAGGUCACGGGUGGGGCAGGUGUUAGGUCCCAGGGACUUUGUAGGAGUUUGGAUUUUUUUCUUGUUGCAAGAAGAAGCCACUGGGAAGAUUUUUUUAAAAAAAAAUCUGAGAUAAAUCAUUUAUUUUCAGAAAAGGCAAACUCCUAUAGUUGUAUGUACAACAGGAGAACACUCAACAAAGUAAUUAGUUUUUAAAAUCUUGUUUACACCAAGGUAUGACAGAUUAACAUAACCCAUUUCUUAGCUUUAAUUGUCAUUAUUUAUUUUUCAAACAAUUCUAUGAGAUAUAAAGCAAAUAUAUUCAUUUUUCAUAAAGAAAUAUUUUUAAACAUUUAUUGUAUUAUUUUUAUAUUUAUUUGCCAGAUGCAUUAAAUGAGGCAAAAAUACAAACCAUUUUGCUUUUGUUUCUGGACUUACCAUGGGGUGAGGACCCAGGAAACCCAUCUGCAGUUGAAAAUGCCAUAAGAGAAACAAGUGCUAACACACCUACCCACUCAGGGCACACCUAGCAACAGUACCCCGUGACUGAGAGGCUGACUGGCGCUCACUGCUGAUCUUGUUACCACUGGUCCAGGAAAAGCUCAGGAUUCAGAAUGUGAAUCAUGGCUCCUACUGAACACACACCACUUUGGCACCCCUGUAAAGCUGACUCCCCAAAGUUGGGGAUCAUGGGUGCUGGAGGGCAAGAGCUGUGCUGGAUCUACUGACCUUGAACCUCCCGUCUGGUGGGGACCUUCCCAGGUGACCAGGAGAGCUGCAGUGAGCUGAACGGUGACCUCCAAGACGCAUGUUCACUGGGAACCUCAGCACGUGCCCUUGUCUGGAAACAGGGUCUUUGCAGAUGUAGUAAAGUAAAGAUGGAGAUGAAGUCAUCCUGGAUUAGGGUGGGCUCUGAGUCCCUGGAGAGUGUCCUCAGGAGAGACAGACAAGGGCACACAGAGUCCUACAGAGAAGGGAACCUGAUGGUGGAGGGAGUGAUGUCUGUGAGCCUGGAAACACCAAGGGAGCCCCGGGACCCUUGUUCCCCGGGGUCUCCAGAAGGAGCCAACCUUGUGGAUACCUGGGUUCUGGACUUCUGGCCUCCUGAACUGGGAGAAACAAGCAGUUUUUUGCACCACUGGGUUUGUGGCACUCCAUGAAUACAGGAGUGGUGUGAUCUGAUGGGUGCUGUAGAUCAUCAAGGCUGUGGUCCAGAGGUGAACUCCUGGCCCAGGCCAGGGCAGCAGGCUGGGGUUGCAGUAGUCCAGUCUGAGAUGAAAUGCUCAGAUGUGGCCGUGCUGGUCAGGUGCUGAGAAGCCCUGGGGCUCAAGGUGUGCUGGGAAGUAGGCCUUGACUUUACCUGUGGGGUGGACGUGGUGGGAAGGCUCAGAUGGGGUUUGUGGUCUACACCAUAGUCAGGAUUUGUGGGGCUGCUGCUUGGGGACCUGAGUUGGGAGGGAGAAUGAUGGUUUGCUUGUGCCAAGGGAGGGAUUCCUGUUGGAACCAAGGUGGAGGUACCUAGCUGGCAGGUGGACUGUACCCGUCGAGGGCUUUAGGGAGAAGUCGGCUUAGGGAGGAGGCCCCUGGGAAAGUCAUCUGUACAGGGCGAUAUCUGUCUGGGGACUAAAGGAGAGAAUAGAUGUGGGAGAGGGAACAGGCAAUGUCAGUGUCCAGGGGACUAGAGUGAAGGCCAGCACAUGGGAAGGGACGGGAGAAAUCCAGGUGCAGGUGGACCGUGUAAGUCUCCUGGAGCAGGUAUUUCCAGAAGGGAGGGUCGAGUGUGAACAAGACAAAGUGUCUGCCCUGGCUCCGGGUGGCUGUCACCUAUGCAGGGAGGAGGGGCCACAGAUACUUGACUGGGAGGUGAGGGUGGGAUAGCUGCCUCCGAAGCUCUUGGGAGAAGUUUCCCUCUGGAAGGAAGCAUAGAAAUGGCUCAGAGAUGGUGUGGGACCUGGGGAGAAAAGGGGCCAUGGCAGGGAGCUGUCCUUGAGGAGCUGGGGUGUGGCUCGGGAGUGUGCAGGGCUGUCCUGCAGCUGUAUCCAAGGAAGUCAGAUGGGGACCCUGCAGUGAGGGUCGACCCCCUGCAGCCCCUGUGGGAAGGCACCCCCAGCUUCAGACACAUUUGUUUCUGAACAUACCUCUUUGUUGAGGGCUGAGGACCACUGCAUGCCUACCUUCCAUGACCACCCACCCUUCUGCAGGGCAUGGGGGAGUCUCUCUGCCAUACCCUUCUAAGACCAGGGCCUGAUGGCAUUCCUGUCCCUGGGAAGGUGGGCUACUUCUUGCUCCUCCUCUUUGAAAUAAAGCUAAUGGCAAAACCCUUCCAGGCUUCUCAUUAGAGACUGGGCACCUCCCUCUGCACUCACCCUUGAGGGGCUCUCAGACUUCCCUCUUGCCCCAGUGCCCUUAUGGGGUUUAUCUUGGGGACCACUGUUUCUCACAUGGAUUCUUCCUUAAGAAAGAGAGAAAAAAGCUUCCCUAAGUUUAACCUUAACUAAUAAAAUGAUCUGGUUUGCCCUCUUUAAAAAAAUGAUUUAUAAUUUUUAUUAUGAGUUAUUUUUUCCUCCACAUUUUUAAUGAUACGUUGUAGUUGUACAUAAUGGUGGGGUUUGUUGCUAUAAUUAGUACAUGCACACAGCAGUUUUACUUCAUAGAACAUUUUUUUUUUUUUUUGGAGUUUGCGUAGUCCCCUAGUCCCACAAAAUAUCCUGUCCCUGGGACAGUGGGACCAGUUUUGGACAUCCUGCAUAUGAAAGGGUCAAAAAGUUCUGCAGCUAAAAACACCUUUGUCUCUGUUUUAUCCAACAUUUCUCAAACAUAUUUGACCCCCAAACAGUGCCCACCACAAUAUUUUUUUGGGAAAUUUCUGCUUAUAUAGCCAGUUUAUAAGAAAUACAGUAAUUUUCAUUUUUCACCUGAUCCAAAGGACCUUUUAAAAUAUUUUUAGUAAUUUUACAAGUAAUUUGAAGAAGUAAGAAUGAAAGGAGGUGAAAAACAGCUCUAAUGGGAAUUUUGACACUGGAAUUGAACCACACAGGUUCAGUUUCUGCUCCGUGUUCUGGUUUUGAAGGUGCACAGGCCCUGGGUGGGCCCGACUCUGGAUCACAUUUCCAAGAUGGGAAACACUGAGUCAGCCUUCCAGUGAUCUCUAGAAGGUUCUUGCUUCUGCCUCUCUGGCUACCUGAAUUGUGAAAGCAUGUAGGAAUCAUUUGAAGUCUUCCAUAACAUAUUUUUCUUAAAAGGAAGAUGGUCAUUUUUGCUUCAUAAUUGCAAAACAUUUUCAUUUUUGGGUCUAUAAAUACCAAUCAAGAUGAUCAACCCAGCAUGACUACUGUUUUCCUGCCAGUCCUCUUUGUAUGCACACCUGCUUUCAACAUUUGCUACAAAACACAUCAAGUAGAUGUCAGGGUGCAAACCUCAUAAGAGGAAGAAGUACCCCACAUACUUUUUCAGCCAGAUGGCAUGGUCCAGGCUCUGGACAAAGAUUGGCAUGAUGCAGCCCUUCUAGGUGGAUGACCACCUGGAGAAUACCGUGCUUGCUUUUGGUCCACAGAAAUAUUUUAUUCUCCCAUCACGUUUUGAGUUAGAAAAACUCUUUGCGUCUGAUGUCACGUUUAGUCUUCGGGUCUGAGAUUGCCUUAUGUAAUCAAUUUCACCACUGUCACUGGAAUCUAGACACCUGUGAUCUCCUUGAGUCCAUCUGAUUUAUCUAAGAUUUGUGAAACAUCUUCCUUUAUUUUUCUCUUUGAUCUUAUAAACUGAAAGUAAAGAAAUUCAGAAUUUCCAACUGUGCCCAACGCAAACUAACUUCAGAUUAGAAAGAUGGGAUCUUUCACAUCUUGGCCUCUCGCCCAGCAACAGGACAGCAAGAAUGAGAAGACAGAAAUGGCUGUCUUCUCCCUCCAGUGCCUCAUUGUUUCUUUGAGAAUGAUUUGCAAUAGUUCAUGGAUAAUAAUGAAUUAGCAAGAACGUAUCAAGACACAGGGAAAAUAAUGACCCUCAGCUCAGCAGAGGUAGGUAAAAUAAUGACCCUAAGCUAAAUGUGGUGGCACAUGCCAUAAUCCCAGUAGUUUGGGAGGCUAAGGCAGGAGGAUUGAAAGUUCAAAGCCAGACUUUGCAGUUUAGCAAGUCCCUGUCCCAAAAAAAUGAAAUAUAAUAAAAUAAAAGAGGGCUGGGGAUAUUGUUCAGGGCUAAGUGCCUUAGGGUUCAAUUUCCAGUACCAAAACAACAACAACAACAAAUCCCCCCCCAAAAAAAAACCCAGAACAAAACAAAACCAUAAGAUCCUCAGAUGUAGCUCAGAUGUAUAAAAGGGUCUAAAGGAUCCACAUAGUGGUUGCAAUAUAGAGUAAAUGCUAUUGUCAUAAGAAAAAUAGAUAAUUAUUUCUUUGGAAAAUUUCUGGGGAAAGAAUAGAAGUCAAAUUGUAUCAGUCCUUACAAAUAUAUAGAACAGCUCAAAAAGAAAACCCCAAACUGAACCUGGAUCUGGUGGGUCCUGGUGAGAGUGAGCUUUCUCCCACAUUUUGAUUUUGAUUUACAUAUAAUCUCUUAAAUGAAUGAAAAAAGUGCUUUCCCUUUUUUGAGUGGUACAGAAAUGAUUUUUCAGAAAACAUCAUGUAGACCAGCAUCACCUUCAGCUUCGCACUGAAGAUUUGUCCUGUGCAAUCUCAUGUUUCCCUUUCCAUAUGGGAUGCAUUCCGCCACAUGGAUUUAGGAUGCAUUACAUAAGAUGAGUGUGGUUCCAGAAAAUAAAGAAAAAAGGCAAAUGCUUUGAUUUUAGUUCCUAAAUAUACAUUCUAUGUGGUAUGUUUUAUGUUAUAACACAAAAAAUUGGCAAAACUGUUUUUAGUUUCCCGAGAUUUGGAAUGCUUACAUUUUGUACUUAAGCUGAUCUAUUUUUAUAAUUUUUGAUGCUUUAUUUCUAAUGGACAAGAUAAGACAGGGGAUUUUACCUGUUCUUUUCGUAAUACAUUGCAGUAUGUGGGUUUUUUUCCACUAAGUAAAAGCCCACCAAUAUACGCCUGUUUUCUUUCAGCUCACAGCUUUGAAGCGCCAGAAAUCCAGUCUGGAGGGAGAUGGGUGGUGUCUUCACCAUCUUGUGCUUCCUGCUGGGUGCUGGAGUUUCCUCGUGCUCCCGGACUUCUUGUCCUCAGCCGUGCUCUGCUGUGGUUCAAAACAAACUAGAAGGCAGAGAUUAAAGCAAUGCAAGUCAAACACAGUCUGGUCCACAGAGGGCCACUGGGGACGUGUGGGUGAGUCAUGAGCAUGUUGCCCCGUCCCUCACACUUUAGAACCUUCUCCAGCAGUUCUGUGUCACAGGGAGAAGUUUGAAAUAACCAUCCUAUUUACUGAGUUAAAAAUAGAAGUGGCUGCAACAUGUUCUUUGCUCUUUCAGGGAUCCAAACUCCUGGGUUGCUUUCAACAGACCGAGAAUCACUGGUUGGGAACGUGGAUCUGACUGAGCAAUGGGAGCCUGGCCUUUGGGAGCUGGCCUGUGCAUGCCCUGCGUGCGUGGGAGACAUGGGACUUGUCCUUCUUUGAGGCUCCCUGGCAUAGACUCCUUGCUCACCAUCACUUUUUCAUUUUCUAUUGCCCACAACGAAGUUCAGUUUCCAAAACCAUCGCCCAACUUAUAUGCACCCACGAGGUUUGGGAUUGGUGUUAACACUAUAGCUGCCUGAGUAGCUACUUUGGCAGGCUAAGGUUCUGACCCUAUGUUACCCGUCCCUGUCUUUGGGACUGGAGGCUGAAUUCCAUGCCCCACCCAUUGGGGGCACUGCAGGCUCCAGGGUCCUGAGCCCCUGCCUGGGCUGAGAGGUAGGCUGCGGGGACAGGAGGGGCUGAUGCUGGCCUCAUGCCAUCAGGGUCAAGGGCCAGUGGUGCACACUUUGUCUCCUAUCCUGGGGUCAGCCAGGCCUGCACGGACUCAUCCUCAGCCUAUAUCUGCAGUAUAUGCCUCCGAAGUUUCCAUCAAUAGGGGGCGGCUGGGUAUACAAUGAUGAGGAAGGGUAUAGGCUCCGGGGAAGACCCAGGCACCCAAACCAGCACGAGUAUCAGGUCACUUCCCUUUUCCUCCCCCACAUGUGCCUUUCUGGUCUGUUGCACUGGGAGCCAGCUGCUAGCAGCCUGGGAAGGGCUGAGGUGCUCUCAGAGGCCAGCGUCUCCACAGGGAAGUGUUCCUUAUUCGCCCCUGGUAGGAAUGGCCAGGGAAGCCCAACAGAGAGACCGAGAGGGAUCUUCUCCCAUGUGCUCUCCCUCAUGGUGAGAAUCCCAUCCCGAAUGCAGGCAGGGUCCCCAUGCUGCCACCCCAGCUCCUGCCUUGUUGUGAGGAUGGUGCAGAGGGCUGUGGAGCCAGGGUUAGCUGGGUGGGGAGGGCUGCUGGAGGACUUGCUCAAGCAGGCUGCAGCAAGGCCUUGGGCACGGUGUGGUUACCUCACACCCAGGGACCUGCAGGUGCAUGCUGGGCUGUUUCUGGGUUGGCACCCAGACCCUUGGCCCUCACUGCCACACGAAUCUGCCUGGAGGAGCCAGGUGGGUGCUGCUUGCUGACCCUAGCCUGGCCAGGACAGCCUGGGGAGGAGCUGCAACCCAUGGGGUUGAGUGGGCACAGGGCCAUCAGCCAGGCCUACCAGACUCUGGUGAGAAGUCACCUGCCAGGGGCCUGAGGGCUACAGGGAGCCCCUGACCCAACACCCCAGAAGGCAAAGCCCAUCAGAGGUUGAGUUCCAUGGUUCCCCUAAGCUUUCUGUCUCCGGCUGUCCCUAUUAAAGGAGGGACAGUGGUUCAGGCUGCUGAGGUGGGGUGCUCAAGACCUGGCAGCUUGCCCAACAGACAUCCAUUUCUUGAAAAUCUGGAGGCUGGACAUGUAGGACCAGGAUGCCAGAGGGGCUGGGGGCUGUGAGGGCCCUUUUCUGGGGUGCAGAUGGCGCCUUCUAACAGAGUCCUCUCAUGCGAAGGUGAGCGGGGCUGCUCUCUGGGUUCAUGUAUGUAAGGGUCCUAUUUUAGGGUUCCACUCUGUGACCUGUCUGGCUCCCAAAAACCUCACCUCCUAAUACCGACACAUUGGGAGGGGCCAGGUUUCAACAUAUGAAUCUUGGGGUGACACAGACAUUGAGUCCAUGGCAGAACAGGUGCCAUAGACCCAAUACUACUGCAUUUCACUUCUCACAGAAACCCUGCCGGCAGAGGAGGAGACUGGCUCAGAGAGGUGGAGAUGCUGCCUGGUGGGCCAGCGGCCACGGCCGAGUUGGGGGGCUGGCCUAGGGUGGUGCAGAUGCCAGGACCAGUCCCCUCCCAGGGACAGGGAGUGACCUCCUCUGAGAGGACCGGGCUCCUUUCCAGCUGAGAGUGGGCAAGAUCAGCAACUGCUGUGGCCAGGACUCUGUGGGGCAGGGUGUUGGGUGGGGGUCCCAAGGGAAGGCUUUGGCUGGUCCUGUUCGGGAGUCCUCUCUCCCUUUCCUUGGCCACAGGAAGGCUGAGAAUGAAGAGGCAUCACCCACCUCCUUCACUCCUCAGGGAUCCCACAAGACCCAGCUCUUCCAUGCAGCCAUUCGAUCCUUACGCUUUGUGUGACUACUGGCCCCACUAUGCUCCUGUGAGAUAUGGCAGCUUGCUGCCUCCCUCCCAACAAGCAAGGGACCUGUGCUCUUUUUUGUCCCAGGCUGGUGGCCUGGAACGGGACCCUGUUGAUUCAGAGUGGCUCAUGUACUAAGAGGAAGUUGUGUGGCUGGGUUCCUGCAACAGAGCACCUAAGGCCCAAGAUGUGUGCACGUGUGCCCCGUUGUCCCCAGAGGCUGGCUAUGGUCUGGUGGCAGAGGUUCACUCCCAGGGAGGAAGAAAUCACCAAGUGACAAGUGAUGUUUUGGGUAAAGCCCUUCUUGUUCCGCCCUCACCCACCUGGGGCUCCUAGGCUUCCUGGUGCUUCCCCCUGCUGUUGUUUCACUGGGGAGGGACCAGGGCAGGGAGGGGACAGCUGGGGAAACAUUCCUGAUUCUCUGUGCAUUCCUUUCUUCCUGUCCACUGGUGAUUCCUGAUCUGCUUUGGGGUAGGUAAAUAACUCUUCCCUAUCAACAUCUGACAUCCCCCAAACUCUGUGGCAUGAACCAUCACCCCAGGUUGGCUCUUGGUGUGUGAGGUUCAUCCUAUGGAAUUCUAAGGAAAUCUCUCUCCAUACAGCCUGGUUUUGCAAAUCAAAAGCUCUUUGAUUUUUUUCAGACUGCUUCAGCUAGAGACAGACAAAGUCUACACAAGAGUCUCAAACAGGAUCGCAGCUUGCUGGUUUCAGCAUGCGGGAAGCAAUCCUGCCCCCUGGACAGCAGGGUCCAGGCAGGUUGGCACCCAUUGUUCUGGGGGCAACUGUUCAUCUCAGACUUUAUAAAUGUGCUGACGAUCACCUGAGGGGGGAAACGUUCUGAGUUUGCAAAUGAGCUGGUAUGGGAGCCUUGGCUAGGUCUGGGAAGUCCGGGAAGCAGCCACCUCUUACUGCCUUAGACUGCCACCUUGCUAGGUAUGCAGAAUGAAGGGACUUCUGGAAGGCAGAGACAGCCACUGCGGAGCCCACAAGGGCUACACAGGAGGUGGGCCUGGAGGUGGCUAUGGGGAGAUACUGACCAGGCGCCUAGAAAGAGAGGCAUUUCCAGUGCAAUCAGUGGGAUUGAAGGUGUGGGAGACAGGCGUUCACUGAGUGGCCAGGGCCAGUCUGAUGGCUCUGAGGCUUUGUGUUGGAGCAUGGCAAAAGAGGAGGUCAGAGAGGUGGGCUGGCUGGGCACGGAGUCUUGGAAAGUUGACUGAGGGGUGGUCUGGGCUCACUAAGGAGUGAGCCACAUUCCAGGAGGAAGUUAGGGACAGGUGGAAGUGAGGUGCCAGAGGACAGCGACAGAUGCUGUUAUGGAGGCCCAGCAUGGUGGACUGCAGUGGGCAUGAGGAGGGGAGGGGAGGCCUGAGUGGGCAGCACCCUGUGGGGGAAUCACCAGGUCUCUGGAGCUGACUCUGGAGGUGCAAGGAAGCUUCAGGUCUGUGGGUGGGAAGCCAGCCAGGCUUCAGCAGCACUGGGGAAGCCUGGAGGGGUCCCUGUUGGGCAGCACUGGUGGCACUGCAGGGUGGUGACAUUCAGUAGCCAGCUGGCCCUGGGGGCAUGGAGGCAGCAGAGUGGCCAGGACUGUGGUGACAUAUAGAUUCUGUGCAGGAUGACCCUGCAGGAGGUGAGACUGCAGGUGGAUGGCCUCUGGGGAGGGCGCCUGGAGCAGAGCCAUGGCCCCGGGAAAGCCCAGGGGCAGCCACACUGCCCAAUGCACUGGAACAUCUCAGAGGAACUGGACCUAGGAGAGGAGCACUCUGCCCCUGGGUGACAGCUGGGGCUUUCUCCUGCUCCACCUGCCGAUUUCAGUCUCAUAAGGCAUUUUUCUUAGUGAGCGCAGUGGAGACCAAAGCCUCUCAGAACAGGAGAGUGGGAGCCUGAAGAAGGGCCUUCUGGAUCCCUCCAGGGCCCAGGGCAGUCUUGACGCCACCCCUGUGCCCCCUGACACUGUCCCCCAGGCCUCAUGCCCUGUAGAGGGACAAGGCGAUUUCCCAGGCCGCUCAGGAGUUUAUAUUUUCUUCCUUUCUACUUUUUCUUUUGUUCUAACUAGUUUUACAUGACAGGGGAAUGCAUUUUGACACAUCUUUUUUUUUUUAAAUAUUUAUUUAUUUAUUUUAGUUUUCGGCGGACACAACAUCUUUGUUUGUAUGUGGUGUUGAGGAUCGAACCCGGGCCGCACGCAUGCCAGGCAAGCGUGCUACUGCUUGAGCCACAUCCCCAACCCCUUGACACAUCUUAUGUAAAGGGAUAUCAGGGGGUUAUAUUUCUGUCAUCACAGACUCCUAAACAAGUGCUCUCAGGAUGGUGAUUUUUCGGGGUGCACCCCCAGCGGCAGUUGCGUUUCUGGGCUGGUGAUUAAAGAUGGCUAUGCAGGUGGGGGUGGUAGGAUGCAUCCCAUUUUUUCCGCACAAGAUCUUUUCCAACUAAAUGAAUCCUGCGGCUGGCUGCAUACCCUGAGAUCCCCCCUCUCCCAGCAACGAGCCGACCACAGCACCAGGCCUGGACACAGCAGCUUCCCGCCCCAGCCCUCCCGACAGCCAGCAGAAGCCAAUCAGUCAGGGUGGAGAGGUGGCCCUGGGCUGUCUGGCUCUCCUGGCAGUGCUGUUCACAGGCUGGCUGUUGAAGGGACACUCUUUCCUUCGCCCUGCGCCCUCUGAAGGUGAAGACUGGGCUUCCGCCUCCCUGUGAGCACCUGUUCCCUACCGUUCCGACAGUUUGACUAACUCAUCAAGCUUUUUGUGCAGCACAUACUCUGGCAGGAACAGAAGCAGCAUGACACUCGCUGGAUACGGGCUGCGCAAGCACCACCACGUGCUCCCAGAGCUAGGCCAGCAUCCUGGGCGUAGCUGAUUGGCAUUCUGUCUCAUGCCCACCAGCUCACAGUGGCGGAAGCUAUGGACACGUGGAUGGGGAGGGGAGGUUUGUGGGGUGUGCUCACAUAGUUCUUCUCCAUUUGAGAGAAGCCCACUGUAGGAAAGGCCCCAGUCUGAGGCAGUCACAGGCCCGAGUUCGGGCACCUUGGGAAAGUGUGUCCUCACACUCUACUGACCUGUCAGGGCCAGCGUGGCCAGUCCUCUGUCCUCAGGCUUCUGGUCCCAUGAUGGUCACUAGGUGUCCAGAGCAGGAGGACAAAAGGAUUUUGAGGUCAUUUGGACACACUCACCAAGACCAUUGCUGGUCCAUGAAGCUCUCACUGUCCUAGCUGAAGGGCAACAUCUCCUCUGCUGGAAGCUGAGGAUACUGCCUUAUGGUGCGGAUGCUGCAUAUGCGAUGUCACACACGAAGCCUGCCUCACUUCUUGAGAGGGUCUGUGGCUUCAGUCCCUCUGAAGGAUGCAGGAUGGAGAGCCCUGCAUCUAGGGCUGAUCCCAGAAAUGAGUUCCAGGGGUCUAUGCUGAGGCUGCUGGUCCUGCUAGAGGUGAUGUGGCCUCUCCCUUGACCGGCUGCAAUUGCUUGGGGAAAAAGGCACACACCAGGUCAGGAGCGGUUCUUAUCCUAGUGAGGCUGACCCCAGAGCUUCUAGGCCUCGAGGAUGCACUGAUGGGCCCAGCAUGGUGCUGACAGGUGGACAGGCAGAGGCUUGCCUUCCUGGGGCUUACCACCUGGAGCAUGGCAUUUGCACAUUCUCUGUGAAGAGCCAGAUAGUAAGCAUUUCCUACCUUGUGGGCUGUGGGUCUCUGUCCUAACUAGCCAUGUGGUCACUGUAGCUGUAGGUGGAUGCCUUGGUGUUCCGAUAAAACCUCACGUUUUUGGUCAGAUUUUGCAAUUUCUUACUACCCAGAUUUUCCCUCUGAGCCUCUGAAGGAUGGGAACAUGUUCUUGCUCCUUUUCUUUUUCCCAGAGCCUAGCAUGGGGCCUUACUCAGUUUACACCCCCCAGUCAUUUCAAGAAGACGCUGGGGGCUCCAGUUAUGCUGACAGUUCACACACUGGGCCGCGCUUGAAGGGCCUAAGUGCUGCCCACUGAGGUGCACACCUCUCACAGCGGAUACUGGCGCUGGGGCACUUUCUAGUUCAUUCUGUUGUCUUUUCUAUUCCCUCCUUUCCUUCCCUUUCUCCCUUUUCUUCUUCUUUCUCCUCUCACCUAUUUUCCUAAACAUUUAUUAGGCACUUUCUGUGUACAGACACUAUGCUUGGCUCUAGAGACACAAAGAACAGUCAAGACAUAAGGUUGGUCCACAAGGGGCUUCGAUGAAGGGAGAAGAGGCCUGUUCUGCCUCAGGAUGCUGAGCUGUGGGCACAUGGGCCCAGGCCUUGCCUCUCCCCCAAAGCAGGGAGUGGGCAUUAGCUUCCAGUGGCUGCCUCAGCCUCUGAGCCACGGGUUAAAUCUGAGGCUGUUCUGCAAGGGCGCGGGCCUGGCUGGUGUUGUUUCUAGGCAGAGGCUGGAACCUGUGUCUCUUGUUUUGAUAAAGCUUUGCUGUCAGAGUUUGAGCAAUAGGUGUGGAUAUCUUGAAGCAAGAUAGUGGCCAAGUCCUCAUCUAGGAAGCAGAGAGCUAAGCUGAAGAGGAAAUUUGCAACCAAGGGAAACAACCAGCAGGGACCAGAUCAGAAAAAGGUGGAAAAACAUAACCCAGAGGCACACUUUGCUUUGUUUAGAACACAUUUUCCUGUGAACCCCAAAAGCUGUGCCAGGUGUGUGAUGAGCAGCCGUGGACGGCGGAGCCCACCUGGGGCCUGCUUCCCACUCCCUCCCUGCUCUGCUCUCAGGUGUCAUCUUGGAGCUGGCGCUGCCAGGUCACAUGGUCCUGUGCACCCUGUACUGUUGGAGGUUAGCACGUGUCCAGCCCACUUUACCCAGGAUCUCUCAAUGGCCGUGAAGCCUUCUGCACUGUCCCGUUAAUCCUCAGGUGCUCUCUGGUUCUGGCCUCAUUGAGAGGCCACGGGUUCAUUUCUCCUAAGAUGUCUUCCAGCCAGUGUAUUCUCUGACCUGGGGCUUGGUCUCAAGGCCUCCGGCUCACAGAGACCUAGCCGGGGACAGCCCUGGCUCUGGGCAAGGACAGGAGAGAACCCCAGAGGCAUGCACACAGUUUUUGGGUAUGUGGGUGCCAGCUGAGGUCCCAGCCGGGUUUCCUAGGAAGUCCAAGUAUCACAUCCCACACCUUGGGUGGAAGGGAAAGAGGACAGAGGUGGGUCAGUUGGGUGAGGGGCUCCCAGGGACCCAGGUCCAGAGGGUGAGUGGACUUUUAUCCCUUUCAGGGACUGGAGGAUCAAAGUGCAAAAGAUCCCAAAACUUCCUGUCACCAUACCUCACUAAUUAGGCAACUCCUGGCAAUUCGACUUUGGACUUUGCUCUUGAAAAGAAAAUCCUGGUAGAUCCAGGAACUCGGCAAGACGUCAGCGUUUGCUCAGGGGUUGAGGUCCCCUGAACCAUCUAGGUCACCUGCCCCAGACUGGUGGUUAGUCAUGGCCUGAUAAUAACAAGAGAGUACGUCAAGCUUCACGUGUGCUUUGGCAUUCAGUGCUCAUAUCUGUGUGUCUUGCCGUGACCUCGAGGAUGAGCAACGGUGGCCUACUAGGUGCUCACCUUCGAGCACCUGCUGCCCUCCUGCCCCUGUUCCAUGCACGGUCGACGCAUCUUCUCUCUCAAUGCUCACUGUAGCCGUGAGUGAUGCAGCUGUCACAUCAGGAGUGGACCAGGCUCCCGCAGGAUGGGGAACAGGCCUGCCCACAGGGCUCAGGGGGCCACCAUCUUCCCAGGCCAUGGAACAGGGAGAGACCAGGUUAUCUGGCACCUGGACUCCCAUCUGGAGCUUGAUGCAAGUGCCCCCAGCAGAGGUAGAAGGUGAAAGGAGCUGGCCUCAGAUGGCCCCUGUGACCACUGCCUUGUUGCCCACCCAGCGUUGCUCUCUCUUGGGAAGAUGGUGUCACCUACCUUGGCCCCAGUCUGUGGGUUCAGGGUGAAGACCCCUGUGUAUCCAGCUGCUCAGCUGAGAGGACUGUUAUGAACAGGGUGCAGGGCAGGAGGGGGCAGGGACCUCUUCCAGGGCUGCUGCAGGCCCCGCUGUGCUGGAGAAACUGGAGAGGACCGUGGCUCCAGGUGAGCGCUGGGUGGGCGAAGGUGGCUGUGGCAGCAGCAAAUGGCAGGGUGAGGGCUGAAGAGCAAGGAGCAGUAGAGUGCCAGAUAAGGGACCCUCGCCCAGGGGUGCAGGCAGGAGCAUGUCCCGCUGAAGGCAAAAGCUGCAGGAGGGUGAACCCAUGUUGUCCCAUGUCCCCAGGUGGCAGCCGUGUUGCUGAGGACACCGUGUAGGGGAGCACCACCUCCUCCCAGGCCACCUGCCCACUGAGGUGCAGACACACUCCUGAUUUCCUCUGAGACAGGGUAAAGCGUGGGUUGUUAGGACAUUUCUUAAUUGCAGGGAGACUACAUGGCAAACUCCUAGAGGCAAGUAUGUGGCUCUGUGUCCUGGUGAUGGUGACGGGGACUAGGCUGCCUGGGGCAGCGGGCCUCGGUGCCUACGGCUCUAUUCUGGAUGUUCUGCGAGUGCGCUUACUGCGAGGUCAUGGAGGAGAGCGGCUGGCAGGACAGAAACGAUCCCGGUAGAGUUUUUCAGGGUUAGAAGGAACGGAGGUCCCAGAAGGUUGAGUGGAAACUGCAUCUGGUGUGGAGGAGGGUCCGGAUCCACCCUCAUGUCUGACAGCUCCAUGCCUGGGGUGGGGAGCACCCGUGCUUGACCAGGUGUGAGUCAACUUGGGGACGUGGUUCCUGCAGGGAGGGGCAGCAGGCAGCAAGUAGGUGGCCUUGGGGGUCCAUGCUAGGAGCCUCUGCUGGAGGUCUUGGGAGACCGCUGCCUGCUCCCAGGGGAGUGGCAGUUCUCUGUGGUCUGAGUCCCAGGUGACACCCGCCUAGGAGGAUGAAGGGUGCUGGGAGGGAAUUCCCUGUGUAUCUUCUCCCACCAGGUCCCAGGGAAAAUGCCCAGGGAGUAGUGAGCAUGAAGGUGAGGGAGGAGGAGGCGAGCUGCCCAGGAAAGUCAGAAGUGAGGGCUAUGCCAGGCGGAGGCACAAAGGGAGUCCCGUGGCCAGGCAGACAGGAGAUGGGAGGCCGAGAGGGAGGCCAGCGGGCUCCAGGACAAAGAGGGUGGGAAGAAGUGUGAGGCAGGAAGUGCUUCAGGCUCUCAGGUGGGGAAAGGCUGCCUGCUCUGCAGAGGAGCCUGGAAACCAGUAACAGGAUAUGGAGGGGCCAGGAGAGGAAGGCCUGCCUUCCUCAGGGAGGGAACAAUGGCCAUUCUUCCAUUGAAGGCUGACAUGCCCUGAGAGAGGAAGGGCCUGCCAGGAGGGAGGGCCAGUCAGGGGACAGGAAGGAAGGGGCCAGAGCCUGCACCGACCAGAGGAAGGCCAGAGGCCCCUGCAUUGCAUUUGGAACUCAAUACACCCGCCUCCAGAGCACCAGGCAGCCGGCAAGGUCCCCAUGGCCAUGGCGUCACUGCUGUGGCUUUCCCAGGAGCCCUGCCCCUGCUCUUCCCUCCCCUUGGCCUCUUCCAGGACCCCAGGUUCCAGCCUUGCUAGGGCAUCCUGAGGCUGGUCGAGGCCAGGGUCUCCCACACCACCUGCUGGGUUCUGAGACUUCCCAUCUACACACACGGGAAGAAGGAGCUCCCAGCAUAAUAAAGGAAUCGGGCCAAAGUAAUCAAGGCCCCCAUCCCCCCAAGGCGCCCGUUUCCAGGACAAUCAGGGCCGCCCACUGAACAACACUUGCUCAGUACAAAGGAAGUGCAUGACGGGUCCAGGGGAAACGUCUGAUUGUUGGGCACACAACAAUGGACGGGUGGACUGAAUGGCACUCACAUGUGAGGUUGCUGUGCCGAGCAGCCCUUCGGAAUCCUAGAGAGCACCGUGGAGUGGCAUGGGGCGCUCCCACUGAGGACUGAGAGGUGUGGCCUUCACACUCAGUCCUUCCCUUGGGGCUGCGCUCUGUGGGAGUGACUCACACACUUCAUGCCUCACCUGCCUUGGCCUGGUUCCCCAUCCCCUCGACAGGAGGUGGGCCCUUUGUCAACAGCAGCGGGUGGCACCAUGGACUUCAUUUGGCAUGAGAUGAGGAUCAGGGGGCCAAGGUAGCUGAGAGGAGGAAGCAAAAGAAGGGCUAGGGGACCUCAGGGAAAGCAGGCCUGUCAUUUGCCAAGGACUGGAUGUUUGUGACCCCUUCGCCCCAACCCCCAGUGUGACUGUAUUUGGAGAAAGGGCCUUUGUCAUGAUGCUCAAGGAUAAAGGAGGUCAUUAGGGUGAGCCCCGAUCCAAUAGAAUUAGUGCCCUUCUGAGAAGGGACAGAGAGAGCUCUCUCUCUCCACUAAGCAAGGACUGAGGGAGAAGGUGGCCCUUUGUGAGCAGGGAAGGAGGUCCUCACUAGGAACCAGCAAGCCAGCGCUGUGGUCUCUGCUUCCAGUCUCCAGACCCACAGUGUCCCAAGUAGCUGGGAUGUGGUUGUUGUGCCUGCCCUGGGGGACUUCAAACCUGAAAGACUGAAGAGAUGAAACUCUCACUGCAUGUUCUCACUUCCAGGUGGGAGCUGGAAGGUGGUCUCAGAAGUGGAGGGCAGAGUAGUGGCUGUGGCAUCUGGGGACAUGCUGGGGAGGAGGAACAUGGAGAGGGUAGUUCCUGGGUAUAGGCACGCAGCCCUAGGGGAGGAACGACUUCUAGAUUCCAAAGCAGGUAGGUAACUAUUGUUGGUAGCAAUGUAUGGAACGUUUCAAAAUGGCUAGUAAAGAAAGAUUUUGAAUGUUCCUGACACAAAGAAAUGAUCAAUGUUUCCGGUGACAGACAUGCCAAACACCCUGACCUGCACCUUCCACACUGAGGAUGUUGAAAUAUCACCCUGCACCUGGUAAUCAUGUACAAUUACUAGGUGACAAUUAAAACUAUUUUACAAGAAGGGUCAGGAAGUUUCAGGGGAAAAAGGUCCUUCAAGGCCAUCUGAGACAUUGCCUGUCCAGUUGACAGCAGCCCUCCCAAGGCCCACAGAGCCUCCCCAGUCCACUCAGCGUGUUGUGCUGACUUGGUCUUGUUGGCACAGGCGGAGGAGCAGAGGCUCCGGACACCUGCACCCUUCUCAAGGCUUCGCCCUGUCUCUAUGGGGCCCCUCACCUGCAGGCGUCAGUGGGUGCCACUCCAUCCCGGUCACCAGUAGGGGCUGUGUCUUCUGGCCGGUGGUCAACAGCAGGAGAGGUCAGCUCUUCAUGAACCAGGCCCAUCUUCAUGCAAAUGUGUCUGGGAAUAGCAGGGAGCAGAACUGCAGGGUAUUUGUGGCGGAGAGAAGUGGGGCUGCUGGGGAACAGAUGCUUUAUUGGGCUCCUGUGGAGCACCAGCUGCUCCUCUAAUGUGUCCACUUCAGGCUUUCAGUGGGGAGCGACUGCUCCAUAAGUAGCAGGCAUAUGAGCCAGGCAUGGUGGCCACGCCUGACAUCCCGGUGACUCGGAGGCCGAGGCAGGAGGAUGGCAAGUUCCAGGCCAGCCUCGGCAACCUAGGGAGACCUUGUCAUGGGAUAAAAGUUGAAAGGGCUGGGUGCAGCUCUUGGUAGGUUGCCCUGCAGUCUCCAGUGCUGCGGCACGAGGAACAGGCACGGAGCAGGGUGUCACUGUGCCUGGGGACCUGCCAGAGCCCACAUGCCUCUCCCAGUGACACCUUUGUGCCUGGCCCUGGGCGCCUUCUCAUUUUCUCUAAGUUUUAUAAUCUUUUCCUUUUUUCUUUACUUUCUAUUUUGGAGAAAAGUCCUACCUCAGGAAAGUUGCAAGACUAUUUAGAGGCGCAGGUUUCCUCCUCUUCUGGGCAGAGACAUUACUGGUAGCUUUGUCUGGGCAGCUUGAGGUCCAGCUGUAGGCAUUGCAGCCCCCAGGUAACUCCAUGCUCUCUUCACCUGCAAUCCUGUCGUCUCUUCGGGGCCCAUAGUUAUGGCUGCCCAGAUGUCCCAGGGCCACGAUUGCCCCAGGGGAUUUGCUUAUCUUGUCUCUUUAGCCCUCUUUAUCUGGAACAAUCAGUAGCCUUUCCUGGAAGUUCACAGCACUGAUUCUGGGAUUGUGCGGAUCUGAAGAGGGAAGCAGAGUAGCGGGACUGCCAAGAGUGACCAGUGGACAUUUGUGGGGAGCACGGGUCAGGCUCAGGAGGGGGCUUGGGGCUAGGAAGGAGGUGUGGACAUAAGGCCACAGGGAAUGACUGUUGGAGAGGUCUGAGGAGGGCCACUGCUCCCAUCCAUGGGCUAGGCCUGAGCGUGGCCAGCAGGUAGGCAGCUGGGGUGGGGAGGACAGAGCAAGGUAGUGCUAAUGGAACUACAGUGGCCAUGUCUGUCACAAGAGAUAUUGGUGACCUCCACAGGGAGCUGCCCUGUGCCUGGGCUGUCCCUUGGAUGAGGUGAAGGAGGAGUCAGGAGUCCUGGUGUGGAGGUGCCCAGCAGCGGGUGGUGUGAGCGUCUGCAGAGCCUGUGCCCCUCUUGUGCACACAUCCGCCUUGGUUGCACGAGCCCUUGUGCAUCCCACAAACGCCUCUGCACUCCUGUGAGGGAUCUGGUGGGAGCAGGAUGGUGGACGCAGGCAUGACAGCACUCCAGGCCGCAGCCCUGGCUCUGCCCCAUGGCACCCAUCCCACCUGCUCCUGGUGACUUUUCCCUGUGAGCCUGCAAGCUUCCCAGGGAGGACAGGCCCAGUCUGUCCACUGUGGCAUGUCACUAGAACUGCCUGGAGCCUGGCAUGGAGUCCUCACAACUGACAGAAGAGGUGAACCCGGCUCUGCUCUUUCAAAGCCGCUGAAGUUCUCCCUGGAGAUGACCUGGACAGUUAGGUUCCCACUUGAGACACUGCUGAGUCCAACCACCUUCAAUGGUGAUGUUGUCUCAGGAUAGACUGUUCUAAUAAAGGGGGGGAUUCAAUUCCAAGUACAGAUGACCCAGUAUAAUCCAAAAUAUCAUGAGAGGAGUUUAUUUCCUCACAUAGACCAAGUCCAGAGCAGCCACUAAGCCCUCGGGGACCUGGCUCCUUCCAUACACUGCUCUGCCCAUCCUUGGGUGUGGUCUCAUCCUCUUGUGCCAGGCUUUCAGUGGGGAGCGACUGCUCCAUAAGUAGCAGGCAUAUGAGCCAGGCAUGGUGGCCACGCCUGUCAUUCCAGUGACUCGGAGGCCGAGGCAGGAGGAUGGCAAGUUCCAGGCCAGCCUUGGCAACCUAGGGAAACCAAGAAGGAGACUCCACAUUUCAGGCCAGUGGGAGGGGGGUGACAAAGAAGCAGCUCAACAUGCAGCCACAGGACCUUCUGUGUAUACCCCACCAUCUGUUAGCUUCUCCCGUGGUGCAAAGGAGGCUGGGAAUGCCAUCUUUUCUCUGGGUGGCAUGUGCCCAGGGAAAAGGCCUUGCUCUGGGGAGCAGUGGUCUGGCUUUGUCUGGCCACCAGCAGUCCUUGCCAUAGCUGAUUUGGGGAAGGCCUGGUGUGUCUUUCUUCUUACUCCCUCUUGUGCAGAAUGGGAUGGUGACCAGAGGCUUGGGCCUGGCACUCUUGGGACAGGGGUGAGGCUGGUCCACCUUAGCUUUUGCUAGAAGUGGGGCCAGUUGGUGGUGGUGCAUUGUGAUUGGCUUCCUCGUGUUAAGUGGCACCAGGCAGUCCAUGAUGCAGGGAAAAGGGCAGGCAUCACCUAAAUGCCUGGAAAAACCCAAACCAAAUCAGCAGCAACCACCCCAAACCCGAGAAAGCUGGUUACGACCUAGGGGCCAAGGGGGGAAGGGAGGAGACCCGCAGCAGGGCCAUGAGUCCGUCAUGGCGACUCUCUGGCCUAGUCUGUGGCGAUGUGAUUGAAGAGUGCAUUUACUAUCAGUGGAUUUUAAAUCUCCUUUUAAAAGCGUGAGUCUCAAGGGAGUGUGUCAGAGGCGGGCAGCUGCUCCCCAGAGGGCAGUUUCCAACUUACUGUGGCUGAGCCUAUUUUGUUUUAUUAAAGAAGGCCAGCUGAACCUGCCUCUGUUCUCAUGCUGUGGACUCAGAAUGCAGAAAGCAGAGCUGCCUCUGCAGAGCCCAGCCAGUAGGAUGCCAACGAGGGACCAUCCUCGCUCUGAGCCCUCACUGCCUUCUGGACUCCAGGUGGACCCUGAGGGUGGGGGAAGCAAAGGCUGUGGGUAAAGGAGGGGCAACGUGCUCCUGUUUGAGCAGAUUCCACCUGAAGAUGAAACGCUUGUAUUCAUUCAAGGCCCCUCCGUCCCCGGCCUGGACGCUCCGUUUCGGCCAUUGCACAGGACCUCCAUGCAUGAGUAUGUGCCCAUAGGCUGGGCCUCGCAGGGCUGGAGCUGGUUUUUAGCUGUGUCUGCUUCUGUCUAAGCCCUUACGUGUGCGGUGGGCCAGAGAGGCAAUGUAGGACACUGCGUAAAUCCACCGGGGAGUGAACAAAUCCAAAGCCAGGGCAGCCGCUGAUGUGCAGGGCACACUGCAUUCUAGUCCUGGGCACCCAGGCCUCAGGCAUCCAAGGCAGCCAUAGAAGGCAGGGCUGUGUUCUCGCCUCUGGGGUGAAGGGAGGGAGCUGGGAGACUCUGAGUGACUUGUCUGCUGGUCCCUGUGUGAUGGAGGUGGGAUCAGGAUGGGGCAGUCUAGAGCGGGGCAGCUGGCAUCAUCACCGCCAGUGGAUGCUUGUGCAGGACAGGAAGGUGCUCCCUGGUACAGGCGGGGAGCCCUGGGCUUGGAUGGGAGUACAGAGCAAUGCCCCACAUAGUUCCCCCCACACGCCACAAGCCAGCCAGUGGGGUCAGCCGCCCUCCCUUUAAACAUGGUCACUGUGGAUGGCGAAGAUCCUCAGCUGGCUCAGCCCCUGCUCUUCUGUAUCUUGCUUUUGCCAAGGCAAUAGUAGCCCUUUGGCUUUGGGUCUGAGUGAAGAUGCACCUCCUCAGAGGGGGUCUCCUGUCCCAAGCUCUUUGCUGUGAGGCCACAUCACCAGCAUUACUCAGGUCACUUUGACCUGCCAGCUUUUUUAUGUCUGUUUACCAAGCCCUAGAGAGGAGGAGCCACGGUUGGACUCUUCCCUCAUGUGGCACUGACAUGACCAUGAACUGCAGCAUGGUUUCUCUGGUCUCUUGGCAACCCGCCGGCUGCCCUGGUACCACUGGGCUGUGGACAUGGCAGGUGUGUUCCUUGGGAGAUCAUCAGUCUAGUGGUAGCAAUGGGAGGGCCCCAGUGACACUGUGAUCUCCAUCCACCUUGGGAGUAGCCGAUGGGGUCCAUUGAGGUGAGCUGAAGCAGGGAGCAGGUGAUGCGUGGAUGAAGCUUGGGCUUCUGGAGGCAAGGGACACACAAGGAAGGGGACAGUCCAGCCACAGUAGGCAAGGAGGUCCAGGCUGUGGUGCCGGGUCUGUGAGUGUGUUCAGUCCCGUGGGGAUCUGCAUUCAGUGUGCCUGUCUAGCUUGACUCCAUUGGUAGCCUUGAGCAAGUGUCUUACCUAGCACUGGGAGCCUGGCCUGUGUCCUGACUGUGGCUUCCUGGGCUUCCAUGACCCAGCCCCUGAGCAGUUGCUGGUCCUCUUGAUGGCCUGGCUCCAACACUUGGAGCCUAGUCAUUGGUGCUGUCCUUCAGUCCUAGACCUUUCCCAACCCUCGCCCCCAUCUGUCCUCCGAUUGCCCCCGGCUCCCUGGACUGAGCCUCCUCCAGUUUUUCUCGGUCACUACCCUGUCUCAUGAAGGGUCCUGCCCAGCCUGGGCUCCUGUGGCCUGGUGUCUGCUGAAUUGCACUGAGCCUGGCAGUGGGAAACAGAUUGAUGAUCGCACAUCUUCCAGGCCCAGGAAGCAGAACCAGCCAUGUUCGUUUUGCUACAGAGGAGGGUAGUGUAGCGUGGAGCCCAGGGCUCACUCGCUAUGUGCUGUUUUGAAUCUGAGUUAGAGUCAAAUUUGUCUCUGAUUAUCUGGGUGAACUCCUUAACUAUUUGUUUGUAAUACCACCAACUAUUUCCAGAUGUUAGCGCAGCAUGUAUACCGUGCCACUGAGGGUGGAGGGGUUAGUGCUGAAACCAUUUUUAAUAUAAGAAAAAUGCAUAUGGAGAAAUUAAAUCCCCUACUAAAGAUCCGGCAUUGUUUACCCACCACAGGUUUUUUCUUGGCUGGAACACAUCUGUCUCCCUCUUAUUCCAGCUGCUCCCGCCAGCUCCAAACACUGGGAUUACCCGAUUCCUCUCUGGUGGUUCAGUGAUCUGGCAUCUAGAGACCAGCAAAGGCAAUUUCAGAGUUCUACUAACUCCCAUUUGGAAAUAAGUGAUAGUCUCAUGGGGUCACCAUGAAGAUGAAGGGGGGCAGCAGACAGAAAGCACCUGCGAUGGCACCUGGCUCCUGCUCAAGUUUUGGUGAAGACCAGUUUGUCUUUCUCCUUAGGAAGACCCAUUUUCUCAACACCUGCACUAGAGACCUUGCUGCCUCUGAUGUGGGCUUAUCUAUGGCUGAUCCAGAGUCCAGAGAUUGGGUAGAAAGAACAGGCUUGUGGAGCUGGGAAGACAUGUGUGUGAAUCCUGGUUUGUGUCUUCCUCCCCGGUGGCCUUAGGUGCAGCAGCUUGGCUGAGUGUCAGGGCCUUCAUUUGUAAAUGGAGAACGUCCUGCUGAGAACACGGGCCAAUGGUGAAGUAUUGCACAGAGAUUGCUGUUAUCACUGUGUCUGCCACCAAUUUUGGUAGUAAUUUGUCACCAGAGCAUCGUAUUCUCAGGUAUCUUCAUGGGUGCUAUGAAACUGCUGUAUUGUGAUGCCAAUCAUUCAUUUAUUCAUCUAACUAAUAUGUAUUGUGUGCUUGCUCUGCGACAGGCACUAUUCCAUGUGUUGGGAAUGCAAGAGUCAGCAGGGUAAGCCUCAGUCCAAUGGGUGUCACAUUCUGGUGAGAGGGACAGACAAGAAACCCAUAGGUCAUGGAAGUCUCUGUAGGUGUAACAGGGGCUCAGAGAUGAGUUCGUUGGAGAGACUCACAGUCUGGCUGGCAUACCCAGGCUGGCAGUGAGACAGCAGUUCCUGGUCUUCUCGACCAUUCAGCUUGUUCCUGGCGGGGUCUUUGUAGUGCCCAGCCUUGAGCAGCCUCCCUUUUUGACCCUAGGGCCUUCUUCUUCCCCUCCAGCCCUUUCCUGCACAGGCUCAGGGGCCUUCAUUGCACUUUGGCCCCUGACUCCCAAUCUACUCUCUUCCUGGAGAAGGAGGUUCCCGGAGCUUUGAGAGGAAUGUUUAGCUGCUCUCCAGAAGCAGCUCAGGAAGCUAGAUCAUGCUUCUGGCUGUUAAGAAGCACUUUCUAGAGGAUGGCCAUUCUCCACCCCCAGAUGGCUCCCUCACACCCCUGGCCAUGCUGACUCUCGAGGCCUUGUUCCACCGAGGUGUGGAGCUACCACCAUUGGGGCAGCCUGGUAUCUCCCCGCUUUUCUCCACCUACUAGAUUCUACCUACCUAUGACGUCCACCUCAGCAGUAGAGAACGUGAGCUGAUUCCCCAUAUCUCUGAUUCUGGUGGUCCAAAAGCCCUGAGGUUUUGUUGGACACACAGCUAAAAGUGAGGUCUUCUUCUCUGCCUGGUGGACCAUGUGACUGGGGACUCCUUCCUUCCUUCCUUCCUUCCUUCCUUCCUUCCUUCCUUCCUUCCUUCCUUCCUUCCUUCCUUCCUUCCUUCCCUCCUUCCUUUCUUUACCGGGGAUUGAAUUCAGGGGCACUCACCACUGAGCCACAUCUCCAGCCCUAUUUAGAGAAAGGAUCUCACUGAGUUGCUUAGCGCCUUGCUUCUGCUGAGGCUGGCUUUGAACUCACAAUCCUCCUGCCUCAGCCUCCUGAGCUUCUGGGAUUACAGGUGUGCACCACCACGCCCAGCCUCCCCCUGCCUUUCUGGCUGGUAUGGCUGUGCAGUUGGUGUCAGGACUUGGUUUCUUGGCAGAGUAACUAGUUGGAAGGUGCCUGGUCCUGGAGUUGGUGCAGCUUGCCCCACAGUCCUGGACCAUGGGUGCUUGUGUAAUCAUCUCAGAGAAGCUGUGGAUCUCCCUCUCAAAAGCCGCCGUUAUUUGGGUUAUAGGUCAGGUUAGAGACCCCAACUUGAGAUCCGGGACAUUCUUUCUGCUCUGUGAAGUCCUCCCAACCUGUCUCUCCAAAAUAUCUCCAAGGAAUGUGAUUCUGCCUCAGUGAAAGUGGUUCUGUGUCUCUGUAGGAGCAGACAAACCCUGGACAAGGCAAGCCCAGGAGCAGGAGCCUGUCUGCCCGAGAGCCAGCAAGGCCCCCUGACUUCAUCCUGGUGCUUUGUGAGUGUCUGCCGGCAAAUCCUGGGUGAUGGAGAGUGAUCCUGCUCCUUAUGGAGAGCAAAGACUCCAAAGCAGCACUGUCCAGGAGCAAGGUAAUGCAGAGCAUGUGUGUCAUUUCAAAUUCCCUACUAGCCACAUUAGGAAAAAAGAAGAAGAAGAAGAAGAAGAAGAAGAAGAAGAAGAAGAAGAAGAAGAAGAAGAAGAAGAAGCAGCAGCUAGUGAAAUUAAUUUUAGCCUUAGGUUUUAUUUAUAUCUACACAUCUGAAUAUUGCAAUUUUCCUUAGUAGUCAACAUAAAACUUAUAACUAAGAAUGUCUGACAUUCUUUCCCCCCGGCUGUCUUUGAAAUCUGGUAUUUUGCUCUUAGGGCACGUCUCAGUUUGAACCGUGUGCUUGCCGGUCACUGUGGUGAAUGGCUGCUGUCUUGGACAUGGCAUACACGGAGGGCCCAAGGCCCUGGAAGGGUGGGGAAGAUGAGGAUGGGCCUCAUGGGGGCUCAGCUGUGAGGCUGAGACAGGAAUCCUCCUUUGAAGCCAGGUUCACAGCACUCGCUGGGCACAGGGAUCUGUGAUUCGUGGGCUACGCUGUCUCUUGGUCACUGCUGAGCGACUUGGAUAUAGAAGGUGUGUUUGGGAAGAGCCGUGAAUAGAAACCAGGCUGUGGGUGCAUCUGUAGAGAUGCCCAAAGCCCACCCCCUGACCUGCCACCUCCACCUUAGUAUACAUAGGCUCCAUUUCUAAAGAGCAAGCCCCUCUCAACCUUUGCCCGGAGGUAUGGUGGCGUGGGGCGAAGAGGUAGGUCAGGAGCACCCAGGUCUGGCUUUUCACCUCUGCUGCCCGAGUGGCCCUGGCUAAGCCAUUUCAACUCUCUAUGCCUCAGUUUCCUCAGGAGGCCUCCAAGAGCAGCCUAGUGGGCACAGAACCAGCUCUUCAAAAGAGGCGAUUUGCAGCCUGGUGACGAUGAGGGGCUCAUGGACCAGCUCUGAUGACCUGGGUGCAGGGGGAAGGACACUGCAGGCUCCGUGGAGGCACCCAAGGGAGGACAUUAUUCCUGGACCAUUGCAGCAGCAGGGGUUUCCGUCCAAGGUACCUGGCCAGGAAAGGUUGGCCUUGGAGAAAGUGGCCUCAGAGCUUGAAGGAGGGAAGGGCGGCCACCACAGGGGCGGAGCAGAGGUGGUGUCAUCCAGAAGACAGCCGAGGAGGGGACCUUGCCUUUCCUCCUCUCAGGGAAGCCCCUGUGGUGCUCUGGAGUCUGCAGGGGGUUCUGAGUAAAUGGGGCACAAAACACUGCAGCAGCCCCCUCCCCCUCGCCCCCCAGGAGGGGGAAAGUCUCAGCCGUUACAUGGAUCCCUUGAGGGGAAGGGAAGCAAAGAAGGCCUGAAACCCCCUUCAGGCCUCAACUUUUUAUCUCAGGCUGAACUCUUCUUGGCCGUCGCUCGCCCAGGCAGCAGCUGUGGUCUCUACGUGACUGCAUGCAGUGAUCCAGCCAUGAGGCACUGGGGCUGCUCCUGCUGGGGCCCCUGUGGAGGAGGCUUGCUGGAGGCCAGCUGGGAGGGGAGUUUAGGAAGGAAACGGGUCUGAGUUCCAAAGCUUGAGGUUCCAGUCUCCAGAAUAUGAGAGCAUCCCUGGAGUAGCAGAAGCCCAGCUCGCUGUGUCGGUCCUGAAAAGUUGAGUGCUGGAACUGCCAGAUGGCUUCAGAAACUUGGGAUUCUGUACUUGGGAAGUGCCAACCUUUCUGGAGGUGGCUGUGCUUUGGGGUGAGCAGUUGAGGAAAUAAAAGAGGCCAGGGCCAACACCCUGCAGAAAACUGCUAGGCCAGCACUGCAAGAGGCUAGACAACCCCCAGGCCAAGUGCAUCCUUGCUGGGGAGAGAAUUUGCAGGGAGGAAGCGUGUCAUUAAUUGGACGGGGCUCCUUCUGUCUCCUACUUGUGGGGACAGCCAGAUGUUUUUCCACAUUGAAGGCUCGUCCACUAAAGACCCAGGCGAGCCUGCGUGUGUCCUGCUGUCUCUUAGUGGGGUAGUUUUCUUGGUGGCUCUGUGUAGAAUGGAAGUGGGGAGUUUCCUGGGGGUGGGCAUAUGGUGUACACACGUGCUCAGCAGUGUUUGUGGGAAGGGUGCACGGGGGAUGUCACGCCUGGCGAGGAGGAAGAGCCACUGGGUCACUCCUGUGUCCCUCUCUGACGCAUUCUUAGGUAGUCUCAUGAAGAGAACCGAAAGUCCAUCUUUCUUGCCAGAGUCUUGCUGCUCAAAUCCCUCAACUAAGGGAGAAAAAUCCAAUAAACUUGAAAAGCCUCCCCAUCCUGGAGUGUCGGGGAUUAGUGGUCAUGCUCGACUUCGAAUUAUCCAAGGUGCAGAUCCAGAGCUGAGCUGGCUGGGUGCAAGCAGGGUCCUUCUGCUUACUAGCUGUGAGGCCCCCAGCACUUCACCCCCUCCCCUUGCUGGACCUUAGUUUUCCUAUUUGGAAAAGGAGGUGCCGACACCCUGAACCUGCAGCUCCCUGGAUCAGGUGGAGCUUUGGACGUUGGUGGGUGUGUGGCCAGCGCUCCUCUGUGGGACCUGGGCUGAGGCUGUCCACACGAUGUUCUUUUUGUCUUCCAGGGGAGCUGGUACUGGACUGGCAUUCGAGGGCAGGAAUCCCCGGGGAGACUUGGAUUUGUUAUAGAAACCCACCCUUCAACUUGGCCAGCCCGUUUCAAAAUAGGGAGUUGACCCAAUAGCUUUGGUGAAUGCUCGUAGUUUAGACAGUGGGAGAGGCAGGAGAAGGCACUCCAGAGACAGCCUCCACAGAGGCUUCCGGGGCAGAGUCGGGGCAGAGUGGGGACAGGCGCCUUCCCUGGGGCCAGUGAUGACACAGUUAGAGAAUUUAAAGAUGAGAAAAACCAACCAGCCUCGGAGACUACUGUUUAUCAUCGCCAUGCAACAAGGGGUUAGUAUCUGUGAGAGGAUUUCCCUCUCCAUGAAAAAGAAUUUGUUCUAAGUUCUAAACAAUUGAUACAGUUACUGUUGAGCUGCUGAGUUUUAAGAAAAUAAAUGAGCUCUGUGGUGCCUUUUGAUUACUUACUUAUCCUUCAGGAGAAGUUGCAUUCUCUGUGGAAAACAGCUGGCCCCCAGUCCGUGCUUGCUCAGUGACAUGGCUCAUUUUGAGAGUAAAUUCAUAAUAGACUGGAACUUUCUCUCCUCACUUUAUAGAUAGUUCAUCUGUCCACCUUCUCAAUACAACAUAUUCUUUUUUUUUAAAGUGGGUGUAUCAAAAUUGAACGGAAUAUUAUGCAGUUAUCAACAAUAAGAAGUUGGAUCAGUGUAUGAUCUAAUAGAGGACAUAUCAUACAAUGUCCAACAUGCAGUGUUCAAGUAAGUAAGCAAGUUGCAGAACACUUAAAAUAUUUUAAAAGGUAGCAUUUACAUGUACUUACAUGUGUGUACACACAUGAAAUUUGUACAUGAGAAGAAUCUCUCAAAGGACAGAUAAACAAUUUUGCAGACUUAAAAGGAGAAUGAUAGCACAGAAAUGCAAAGACAAAGACCCAAACCACUUCAAUUCUCUCAUUCUGUCACUGCUUGGGGAUUUUGUUUAUGUUAAAAAUUUAACACAGUGAAACAGAGUAUGAAUCAGGAGUGCAGCAUUUUCGUCUGGUAAAUGCAAAUUUUGGUUCAUAUAUUAUUUUAUUGAUAUUUUUAAACACUGGCAUCUUUCUUUCUAAAUUGUUUAUUUGAAAGAUAAAGAACGUAUGUAGGGGGUGAUGACUAUUUCUGGUUAUCGAGUGGCUCCUAGGUGAGUCAUUUCUGCACAGGGGUGCGUGCCAUGGUCUGCUCCGGUGUCCAUACACUGCGCCGCUCACCUCUAAUCAAAAUUUGAAAAUGCUCUGGGGCAUUAUUAUCCCCACAAGAUUUGCCUGGAGGAAUGAUAUGACCAACACUGGCAAAUCCAUGGCAAAUCCAUUCUAGAAGGUUUUGAGUGAUUUCAGGAGCAUCCACUUUAUUCCUUCCACCAGGGACAUAUUGUUCUUUUUUCUCACCAUAGGAAACUCCCUAUUUCCUGACCCUGAAAUUCCUGGAAAAAACCUCUCUUAUUCUAGAGUUGAGAGACUGAAUAUGCCGAUGUGGUAGUGGCAGUUUCUUGGGAUGCAGGGGUCUCAGCUAAAGGAGCAAGGCACCCGCUGGGGAAAGUGUGGAGAGGGAGGACAGCGGCUCGCCCCCUCCUCCUAAGGACCCGUGCCCCUUGGGUCCUGGGGGCUGCUCCCACGCAGGCCUGCCUCCCUUUCCUGGUGAGUCUUGCGCCCUAAUCUACCAGGACGGCCUCUCCCCAAUGCUUCCUGGGGCUCUGUUAUUGGAGGGGUCUUCUGGCAGCAGAGCUCCCCCGCACAGCCUGGUGCAGGCACUUAGUGUGCUGAGUAGUCAGUGCACUGUGGCCCUGGCUGGGCAGGAGCCUGCGGCAGUCUGGGUCCAGAAUUGGCUCCUAGGGACAAAGACAAGACUGUAUCUGGCCAUUUGGGAGGAAUGGAUGUUUUAUAUGCGGACAAGAAGGUGGUUGGAACUCUCUCCUUUCCUGGUGACGAAGCUGUGUCGCCUCUUGGCUUUCUUGCUACAAAGGACUCGCAGCUGUUGUGGCGCUGUCCACGGGCCUUCUCUUGCACGGCAAGGCUCAGUGGCCUCAGCGUGUCUAGGAGGCCUAGGAAGACUGGCCUGUUUCCAGAGACACAUGCUUUUGCUGGGGGUGGGGGUGGCAGUUUGCAGCAGUUGGCAGAUGUGACCCUGGUGACAUCCAAGCUAGUAAGGUCUGCUGGGGGUCAUGGCUGUUGGUGAAACUGUCCAGGCCUCUUCUGCUGGGGCUUUGCGUCCUCUUCCCAAGUGUGAGAAGGCAGUCCCAGCAGGAAGUGUGGGGUUGACCAGGGACUUUAACAAAUGUUGACGGAUGGCUUUUGUGUCAUUGCAUGGGGCAUGCAGGCCAGUGAGGAAAGUCCCUGCCAGGCCCCAAGACCCUGUGAAUAAAAGCUGAAGGUGCUUCGAAGUUUCUAAAGUUGGUUAUUUGAAGAAAAAUGUGCAGCAGGGUCUUCUGUGUUUGUAGGGUGAGAGGAUCGAUUCUUUCUACACCACAGAGCCUGCCUGUAGCACCUGCCUCUAAAGUUUGCACACGGGAACAUGAAUCAAGCCUACAAGCAGUUAAAUAAAAUAUGCUCUGUUCUCAUAUUUUACAAAUCUAGGGGUUGGGGCUGGGGUUCAGUGACAGAGAACUUGCCUAGGAUGUGUGAGGUGCUGGGUUUGAUCCUCAGCACCACAUAAAAAUAAACAAACAAAAUAAAGCUAAAAAAAUAUCUAUAGUCACAUAUUUUUUUCAUAUAUUUCAAGACAAAACUGAAAAAUGUGUAAAGCUGUAGUUUUUUACAUGACCCAAAGCGGGCAGAUAUCAAAGAUGACUGAAUUAAUUAUUAAAUGUCCUUUUGUUCUAUUUGAAUGAUGAACAAGAUAAAGAUACACAUAAUUUAUAAUUACUCUAUAGUUCUCUAAAUUAAUUUUUUGCCUUCAUUUCAUCACAACCACAAAUCCUGUCAUUAAAAAUGAACAUUUUCACAUAAUUUUGUUCUAUUUAUAACAAUGAGCUAAGGGAUUUUUUUAAAAAAAUGUUAAUGUAUUUGAAAUAUGCACAAUUUAAAUAUAUUUUUAUCACAAAUGUGAAAGUAUAUGUAAAAACAUAAAAAAUGUAUUUUCUCAUAUAUAUUUUCAAAGAGAGUUAUUUUUUUCUUAUAAAACAUUAAAACUGGAAAGGCAAAAGUACAAAUUAGCAUUAAUAAAUGUCAAAAAGGUAGAUGAAAAUUAUUUAAAUAAAACUGGAUUUUAAAUGUUAAUUUAUGAAAAGUAAAUGAGAUCUUAUUAAAUAUCCUUGUAAAUAAUACCUCCCAAUUCUAGCAUUCGGUUCCCACCCAGCCACUGACAUAAAUUGGCAUCGCCCAAUGUCUUGCCCUUGGACCUACAUGGCUACCAGUUCAGAAAUCAUGGGAACCGUGGAAGUCUGCUCCACACUCCUCAUGGCCACGCCACCUGUGAUUGUCACGACGCCGUGUGACUUCCCGCAUCUCCAGGAGCAGUUAGAGCAGCAGCUCUCCUGGAUGGUUGAGUUAUGCAAGUGUCACUUGCUCCUCCUUCCUGCCACCCAGUGAGAAGGCCAAGGGCUCCUGUCUUUCCUCCUCCCUGUGUUGGGUUAGCUGCUCAAGUCCCCUCCCCUCCUGGGCCACCGUCCCGGGGGACAUCAACAGUCCUAGUAUGACCUGCAGAACUCUGGGGCACUUGGAGGCAGUGAGGCUUUCUUUUUCAUUCCAAGACCAGGCACAAAAUGUGGAGAUGGAUGGGAGACGCGUUUCCUGGGGCCUGAGUGGCCAUGGUUAUGGGGGUGGAUGUUUAGGGUUAAGAAUGCCCAGAGCCCUGGACCCCAGGCGACAGAGGGGCCGUGUGAAGUGGUCUGAACCUCGGGACUCAGGUCAGGUGUCCCUUGGCAGAGUCUUCUGGGCGUACUGACCACUCAUCCCGGGUACUGGGGUGACUCUUCUUGCCUUCUGGUGUGACUUACCUGGCUCUGCAGGGCUCGGUUUCUGGAUCAGCCAUCCUCUAUGGAAGAAGGAAAUUUCUGAGAGUCCCAGCUGCCCGGGGGCUCGUUCCAGCCCUGGCCAGUCUUGGGGUGGUGCAGCAUUGGAGCUGAAGCAAAGGUUGUGUGGACCUUGCUCUUCUAGUAGGGUCCUUCUCCUGAAGAUGUGGGAAGUCACAUGGCGUCGCAGCAAUCACAGGUGGCCGUGAGGAGUGUGGAGUGGCUUCCCAUGGUUUCUAUGAUUUCUGAACUGGUAGCCGAGUAGGUCCAAGGGCAAGACGUUGGGCGAUGCCAAUUUAUUCUAAUGCUAGAAUCGGGAGGUAUUGUUUACAAGGAUAUUUAUUAAAAUCUCAUUUACUUUUCAUAAAUUUAUAUUUAAAAUCCAGUUUUAUUUAAAUAAUUUUCAUUUACACUUUUGACAUUUAUUAAUUUCAAUCAAUGGCCAGUCUCGGAGUGGUUGCAGCACUGGACCUGAACAAAGGUUGUGUGGUCACCUGGGAGAAGUGGGUGCUCUGUGGUGGCAGGAGCUAUGGGGUGGGCCUUAUGUGUCUGUGCACUCCUCUCAGAGGCUGCUGCCCAGGUACUGUCUCAAAGCUGGACUUGAUCCUUGGUGGGUCUGAGCCUCAUCUGGCCCUCACUCCUGUGUCCCUGACUUCUCUUCCUAUUUCUGUGUCUUUCCCUCAGAUCCUGAGCUCCAUCAUGGUCUACUGCCUGGCAACUUCAACCGUAUCCCUGAUUCUCUCCUUGCUGGCCAGCUUUGCCCCAGUGGCUCCCCUCCUGCAAAUAGGGCAAAAGGCAUGGAGAUGAGACCAGAGUGUCCGGCUCUGGGGGUUUGAUGGACCGAGACAGACAAGUGAGCGUACAAGCAAACAUUUUGAAAACGAGCGCAUGAGUCAAUGGUCAGGACUGGUGCACGUUGAUUGGGGUGGAUGUAACUGAAGGGUCACUAGUAGGAUUUCCACAGCCAGCUGGCUCAGGGCCUCUCUGGUCACCCUGGGAAAGCCUUACUUUUUGAAAGGUUCCAGUCCUCUCUCAGUGAAAACACACGGGUGUGACAACACCCAUGGUUCCCUGACCUCCACAGACUGAGGUCUGAGCCCAUUGAAAUCAGGUGUCUGAAGUCACGCAGAAUGGCUUUCAGUGGUGCUGUGAGCCGACCGUUUCAGGGUACUCCUUCCUCCGAUUUCACAGAUGUGUCGGUUGGAUUUUAUUCUUAAGUGGCCUAAGCCAAAAGCAUCUUCUCCCAGAAACAGCAGGUUCAUUUCAAUUCAAUAUUUCACUUUGGACAACUGCUUGCCUUCAUUUAGCGCCGCAUGCUGGGACUUGGUCUCCCCGGGCGUUCUGGCUUCCCUCCCGUUAGCGACGGUGGCAGCAGUGCAGACAGAUUGAGGCCCCAGGAAGGCGGACCCCCCAACUGCGCGGCAGCAGUGAGCUGGGAGCAGAGGCUGUGCACGCUAAUGGUUGUGAGUGCUGCUUUUCCAGCCAUGAGCUGUCUAUAUCGCAUUUGCGUGGAGACACAAAACAUCUAACUAUCAGACGAAGCCAGACGCAACACCCAGCACAGAGAGGACAGCGUCUUCUCCAGCUGUGUCUGGUGCCCGGGGUCACCGAGGGGAAAAAUGACAAUGCCUUGUGUGCUGGGUGGUGGGUGGCUACAGGAUUUAGAGAAGUCUCUCUCACUACCCCAGGCAAAAAACCUUCGUUGUCCUCUGCCUGGGUAGAUUACUCCUGCAGACACUGGUCUGAGUCUAGGCUGAGCCCAGUCUGCCCUGCAGGGCUUCUCUGGUACUGGGGGUUGCAAAUGUGGAAUUCUGGGGGCAGCUCUCCAGGCCCAUGUGGAAAGAAGUGCUGAGACAGAACACAGAGGGCCCUGGAGGCCCGGGGCUGCAGCGCAGGGCUGGCCUCCGGCUUUUGUAGGUGAGGAGGGCCAUCCUCCUGCAGCACAGGUGUGCAGUGGUCUUGGGGCCGGGCAGGUGGGCUUGUUUGCUCUGCUGCUUCCUGUGGACAGUGUCCAUGGCUCUGGGAGGCUCUCUGCCAUCACAGGUCAGGUUGAGCGGCUUCCAGCUCAGGGUAUCUGGGUGUACGUGCCUCCUGAAAAGCCUUCUCUCCCUGGACUGGGAGCAGCUUCUUCUGCCCAGCAAAGGAAGUAGGUGAGAGGGAGGAAGACCCCUAUGUGUGGCUGGUGGCAGUGGCUCAGAGCCACAUGGGGCAGGGGAGACCCUGCUCUUACUGAUCUCCUCCUUGGAGGGAAGGUAUUAGGGCAUCAAGAACAUUCUUGCUGCUCAGACAGAGUCCUCUGGAGAAGGCGGCCCAGGUGGGUUAGGGUUAGGCACUUCUGUACUCUGGAGAUGGGAGCCUCGUCUGUGAUAGUUCUGACUAGGCUGCCUGUCACAUCUGCACAAUGGGAAGCUGGGCCAGAGGGUUUUACGGUCCACACUGAACUUGAGGUUCUGGGAGGGCAGUCAGAGUUUAGUUACAAUCUUUGUUUUCCAGGAGACCCAAGUUCAAGUCCCAUUCCCCAGUUUCUUGUUGCUGUGCAGCCUAGGACAAGCCACUCCCCUCUCUGUACUGUCCUCCCAGCACAGGUGGUUGGUAUGAGGAGCAGUCUGGCUCACAGGGCUUGUCCUGGACAGUGGUUUCUUUCCCUACAUCUCCUUUGAGUUGGCAGAGGCCCACAGACAACCAACCCCAUCUCCGGAGCAUAGACCUUGUCUACCGCAUAGCCAAGUUUCCCAUGCACUCCAGAUUUGAGGACGGCCAGCUGCCGUGUAAUUCAAAUGAGAGCCCUGUUGCCCUUUGAGGACAAGCCUCAUGUAAGGUCCACCUGUCACCUGAGUCUCUGUGGCCCAGCUCAGUGCAUGGCCUCUGCUAGUGCUGAGACACCAGAUGCCUAUAGCCUCAUGUCUGCCCUGCAAGGGGUGCUAGCCUAUCCAGGGGCCACGGGGCUGGGUUUUCGACCAGCUCAUGUGGUGCUGGCUUGUCUGCAUGUGUCAGUGCUGAAGCCCUGUGAAGAACCCUCUCCUGCCCCUUCGAUGCCUGCCCCAGUCUCCAGAUAAGAUGGGAAGGGAAGUGGAUGAGGGACUCCAUUCAGCCUGACCUCAGUUAACAUUUCAGCUCUGCCAGGCAUCAGCUGUGCAUCACAAGAGAGGUCACUGAGCUCCUGAGUCCCAGCUUCUGGUCUGUAAAAGCGGGUGCUGAUUCCCUUGGCAGGAGGGGUGUGAACAGCAAAGGCUGCCAAGUCUCUGCACAUGGGAGGCAUCGGCAGAAACAUUUCUGUUGUUCAGAGCAAGGUACUUGUGCCCUGGACCAGCGUCAUCAGCAUCACCUGGGAACUUGUGAGCAAGGGAAUUGUCAGACCCUCUCCCCAUGUGCUGAGUUGGAACCAAAGAGAUGGGGUGACGCCAUGGAUCUGACUGUUCACAGCCCUGCAAGUUCUACAGCAUGGUAAGGCCAGAGACCUCGGACUUGGAGAUAUGUUGCAAACUUCUUCUUCCAUGGUAUUUCCUUGCCUGGUUCUGCUUCCUUCCUCCGAAUGGGACUUGGGAGAGUCUCCGAACUUGGGAGGGCAGUGAGUCUGGGCUGGAUCUGUCAGCUGGGCUUGGAUAAUGUUUGCUGGAUUGGAGGCAAGAGAAAGGGCAGUAGGACCCUUGGGUCCUGUCCUCCUCUGGGUGCAGACAAGGGCCUCUUAUCUGUGCCUGUCUGGGAGGGCUGCCCCUCCUCAUUCCCUGGACAGGAGUGUGCGGCUCCUGUGCAGUCUGUCUCCCCCUGCUGCCUGUCACCUGGGCACACUAAGGAGACACGAUUGUGGAGGCAUGCAGUGGGUGCUUGAACCCUUUGUGGGACAUGAGAGGAUGGGCACUCUGUAGAGUACUACAGAGCACUUCUGGGAGAAGCACAAGGGGACAGAGAGUGGUGAUUCAGAUGCAGGCCCAGCCUGGGGGCACUUGAGCUGUAGCCAUCCCAGGUGUCCAUCAAUUCCACAUGUGGGCAGCAAGCCAGGUGCUUUGAAUGCAGAGUUAAUAAUUAGGUAAAAUCAAACGGUCUAUUCUUGAAUACGAAACAGAGCAGCAUAAUGAACUUGUAAAACCUUUUAGAUUCUUUUCAGCAUGGUGACAAGUUUUUUUAAGUUGUUUUGAAGCUUCUUUUCUCGUGUGGUUUUUAUUAUGGUAAAAUAUACAUAACAUAAAAUUUACCCUUUUAACUAUUUUUACGUACAUAGGUCUGGGACAUUAAGCACACUCAUGUAGUUCUGCAAACGUCACCACCAUCCGUCUCCGGAACUUUUCCAUCUUCCCAAAAUGAAAUUCGGUCCCCAUUAAACACUAGCUCCUGUCCUUCCCUCUCCUUGGCCCCUGACGGCCACUUAUUCCAUUAAAGCCCUGACUGAGAUAAAAGGAGGUGGUGGGAGGUUCUAAGAAACCCCUCCUUCAAGAGUAUACUUAAGAACCCAGUUUUCUUGAGGCAGGACCUCUGCUUGACCUCCAGACGUGAGCACAGCACAGAGGUAUAGACGUAGGCGGGAACGUUGGGCCCCUUUGGAAUAGUUGCACAUGCUUUAUUUUGCCCUUGAUGAAAAGAGCCGUGUUAAGUUUAUAAAAGAGCACUUGCAGAAGAAGAAAGCCUUGGACCCAGCCAUGGCCUUCCUGAGUUGUUGACAGCUGUUAUUCACUGAAAACCUCCCUGGAAACAAAGAGAUAUUGCAGCAUUGUUCAGCGUGGGUGUUUGAAGUGGCCUCCUUCCAGAGCUCUGCUGAUGGAGGGGCCGGGUCUGGGCCAGGGCCUCGUGCCUCCUGCUUUCUUCCUAUAGCUGCUGCAGCUUCGAAGGAGCCUGGGAGUGUCCUGAAGCAGUCCAACUUGCAGGCAGUCCUUUCUUCCACGUGCCUGUGACUUCCUGAUGCUCUACUACUCCCUUCACAGGGCUGUGCUGCUUUGGCAGAGAAGCAAAGAUGACAGGCACCUUCAGGACCCCUGCUUGUCGAUGUCCCUGGGAUAUCACCUGAGUGCUAGGGUAGGAAGAAUCUGGGGCACUUAAGAAAAACUGAAAGUGGCCAUUUUUUUCCCCAGGAAGGGAGGUACCCACGUCCACAUCCUGCAUCUUCCUCUUUGUGAAAUCCAUGCUGCGGGCCGGCCCUGGAUGCUGUCUGCAGGCCUGUCCCCGCUGGGUGCUGACAGCGUGGGCCCCUGUGCCUUGCUGAGUCAUCUCGGGCUCACUUUUCCCACCAGUGCAACGGGGUUAAUGACGCCUGCCCCGGCUGGGGACUCAAACGAGAAAACCUAGGUGAAAGUGACUUGAAACUCAGAAAGUGCCUUCCACGUGGCCUGUGGUGGCCUUGUGGCGGGCAUCCCUCUGGGGGAGACCUGCGGAGCGGGUUUGGCAGGGCCUCCGGAUGGGGUCUCUGGGGGGGGGAGCCCCUCCAUCCCCCGGCUCACUCACCUCCAUCCCCCCCCACUCACCUCCCACGGGUAUGAUCAUUUCCUACGUGGGCCCUGACAAUGGAGGGGAAGCCCUUUGGAGAGGUCCGUCCGGGUAAGAGCAGGUGAGGCAGGUCCUGGACAGGGCUCCCAACUCACCCUGUGCUGUCACUGGCUUGGUGACACUUCCUCUGGGAGUUCUCCCAGGGGCAGACCACCUGUGCUGGGAGUGCUGGUUGAGCUGUCUCCCUGUAGACAUCUACCUUUAGCCCAGGUCCUGGAACAUGGGAGGUCUUCAACUAGCAGUGAGCACCCUAACAAAUAUCAUCAUGGAACAUCAGUCAUCGUACCUAUUUAUAAUUAUUUACUUCUUUAAGAUUAGUUGAAGAAUAAGUUUUGGGGAGGAAAAAAAAACAUGCCGCAAAAGUAGCAUCAUCAACAGUCUGGUUUCUCAACGUGCCACUGGUAGCUGGGUGGGCCCAGAGCCUGGUAGAAACACUGGUUCAGACCUGAUCCAGACUGGCUGAGUCAGCAUUUACUUUUCGGGUGUCUUCAGGGCCCUUGCAGAUGAGGGAGAGAAGCUCGUGCAGGAUCACCUUCCCAGACCUGGGAGCAGCGGAGCUUGUGGAUUCUCACCUCUGGGGAGACUCCCAGCCACAAAGCCAGGGAUUUCCCAGCUCUGGUGGGGGGGUGCUGCCAAAAGGGGACACACAUGCUCACGGCUCUGGGGGUGGCUAGGGACCCCUCCUUCACUCCUGCAGCGUGUAGGCCAGUGGCCUAGGAGGAGUGAGAACAACCCGCUGCCUUGGCUUUCUCUGGCCCCCUUGUCCUCGAGGGACCCUGGCUGACUAACACCUUUGCCCUGCCCAGGCGGAGAUUUUGGUGCCCCAUACAGGGAGAUGUGCUAAGAGGUGACUUUGGCCUCAAUUAGUCCCAGGCUCCAGAUAAGAGGAUUCCAGAUCCUUACCCAUGCAGGCGACUGCAGCCCUCCUAGUCUCCCUUAGACGUACCUGCCUUCUCUCCUGCUCCUGGGAACAGCCCUUGCACUCCAGUCUUGGGUGGAUUGUGAUUCUGCACUAUUAUUUUACCAUGAGCUGAGGUCGGGAGAAGACUACUAUUCCAAGUCUGGGCCCAGCUAGCCAUUUAUUCCAUCAGUCCUUUUUGAGCACCUACUGUGUGCCAGGUGCUCAGCUGGGCACUGAAGACACAGCAGUCACCACCCUGGCCCUCAUUCUCCAGGAAGACACUGGCAAAUGAUGGUUAAGAAGCCAAAAUCAGCAUUUUGCUCAUCAGCUGCGUGACCUCUGGAACCUCUCAGGGUCUCGAUUUCUUCAGAUUUAAAAUGGCAAUGGACAGGUGGUUUCCCUGAGAGGGUUUCUGUGAGGAGGAAGUGCGUUAAUGCACAGUGCCUGGCGAUACUUAUGCAGACAGGAAGGGGGCUGCUCAGGGACCAAGUGCUAAGUGUGAGCAACCCUCUGGGUCUCCUGCUAUAUUCUAAAACCCAUUUGAAUGCUGGCAGACUGUCCUUCAGCUGUCCUUUGGCACUCAGGGCCUGAGACCCCAGCUUCCCAUCUGCUCAGAGGGGAAUUUAGUCUCCUCCUCAGGUGGGAGUGAAGACUGACCGAGCCAUGUAGACAGGUGUGUGGUGGUGCUCAGAUCAGGGGUCCUGUCCUCCUCAGCUCUUGGGGAGGAUCUCCAUGUCUGAACUGGUUUCUCUAAUCCUUGAUUUAUUGCCGUGACGGUGUUUGUUCUUUGUGAGUCCUUCUGCUUCAGCUUUGUGAUGAAUAAAUCCUUGAUCACAGUCAAUUCCUCAAACAGAGCGACCUUGGGGCUGAAUUCUUUGAACCUGUGUUUGGUUAUGUCACCAAACUGAACAAUGGGGUUUACAGCUGUCCUUCUCUGGACAAGGACAUUUGACCAACUGUUUUUGCAGCAGGAUUUGAGGAGGGUGAGGAGCAUGUGAUUCCAUGUUUAAAUAAGCCUAUCUACACAAGGGGAGGAAGGGAGCCCUCUACAUAGAGGGCAGUGGCACCCACCAUCCCCAGGAGACCCAAGGAGAGACCCUGCCUGGGCAGAGGCCCAGAUGCCACUGGCUAUCCUGUGAGCAGGAGGCUGCUCUGGAGCCUUGGACUGCAAGGUUCCCGGGGUCCUUAAGUCAUGCCACAUGGUACCCUUCUGAGGCUCAAAUCCCCCUCGAGUCCACUCAGCUGCCGCAGAGGCUGUGUCUGGAUGCUUCUGAGGGCAAAGCUGUGGCCUGACCGUGUCCCUCCAGAAGUUCACAUGUUGGAAACGAAUCCCACGUUCACAUGAGAGGACAUUUGGAGCUGGGGCCUUUGUGGGUAAGGGAACCCCACCAUGGCACUGCUGGAUUUGCCAGAAGAGGAGAGGGCCCAGGCUGGAUCGCUUGCCCUGUCCCCCAAUGAGAGGGGCAAGGAGGUCCCCUAGAUUCCAGCCCCUCACCCAGGGCUUCCACCCCCCAAAGCCGUGAGAAAUGUUUCUUCUCUUCAGAAACUACCCAGUCGGUGGGAUUCCACUGAGCCGCAAAGAGUACGCGAGACAGACACACAGCCUCCUGCCACAGCUGGGGUUGAUCUACUCUUGAUUUUUUUUCCCAUGGAUUUUUUUCAAGG